CUGCAUUUGUGGAAUAUGAACAUAUGGAAAUCACUCCAGGUGAACUAUGGUAUUGUGAAAUCGUACCACGAGUUUCUUCAUUUGAGCCUGGAGUUCUUUCUCGAUGCAUAGACACCUCCAUUUCCAAACAUUGUGUUAAUUGGCACAACACAAAACCCAUGGUUGGGAGGUGGAAGUUGUGCAUGCCAUUGCUGUCUCUAAUGCUUUACAAACCGAAUUCACAUCGAACUCUCCUCGAAUCCUUCGAUCCAAAAUAGUCGUUAAAUCCCCAUUCUGGAACUCAGGAUUCACCCACUCCACUAUGUGGACAAGAUCAUCACUUUCUAUGAUUGCAGGUUGGCCAGUAAUUAUCUCUAAUAGAACUACCCCAAAACUAUAAACAUCAAAUUUUUCAUUCAACCUUUCAUAAUUAUAGUACCUGCAGACCAAAAAAAAAAAUCAUAAAUCACGCACUGCUCAUAGAUUUUUUUUCAAAUGGCCAAAAUUCUAAGAACAUGAAAUCUGAACAUACUCAGGAUCAAGAUGCCCUGUUGUGCCCACGAUUAAUGCCACAUGAGUCUCGUUGUUAUUGGGAAAAACCAUGGACAUACCGAAAUCUACUAUUUUUGCAUCCAAGUUUUUGCUCAAGAGAAUAUUGGCAGUCUUUACAUCUCUAUGCACAAUAUGUGGAUUGCAUUCUUUAUGCAAGUAGUGUAGCCCUGUGAGCCAAAUUUCACAAUAUACAUAGGUUGAAUAAGGCACAUGAACUUACGCAAAUAUAUUAGCCUGCAACAUAAUACGAAACACCAACCUAGCGCAAUAUCUAAAGCCAUCCGAAGUUUCAUUUCCCAAGUCAUAUGUGAGCUUCUAUCUGCAUCCGCAAUGAGAAACAUGAUACUUCAAUAUUUUGAAACCGUCCAAGAUAAAGCUUAUAAAAGUAUAGAACUACGUAUACCUGAGAGAUAUUCUUUUAGGUUUCCAUUGGGCAUGUACUCGUACAUAAGUGCCAAGUUGUCGGUAUCGUCACAGUAUCCAGUAAGCGAGGCCAAGUUUCUAUGAUGGAUACUCAUCACAAGCUCAACCUGCAGCAACAAGGAACUCAUCAAUCUCUAACGUUAUCUCCAACCUAAAGGGUUAAGCUCCCAUAAUGUAGCCCUGUAUUUUCAAUUAUUCAUCUAUACGUAUGAGGUUAGUCAAUUUUUUUUCCUCCAACAGGUAAGAAACCUAUAAUUCCCACCCUCAACUUUAUAAUUUGUUAAACUUUUGUAUUUCGUCGAUUAUUUUUUUCUAAUAAUUUUGGAAUUAGUUUUUGUGUAAUCUAUCUUGUUUUAUUUUUACGAACAUUUUGAUGUAAACAAAAAAAAAUUUAAUUCUGAAAAAAAAUAUUGAUGGUGAAAUAUGAGAAAAUUGAAAUUUUUUUUGUGGAAUAGUGAACAAAUGUAUGAGUAUUUAUAGAAUUUUGAAGGAGUUUUGGUGCUGGAUCUGAUUUCAAUUAAUUAAUAAUAGUAUUUUCACCGUUGGAUUUAAAUUUGAGCCGUUGGAUUUAAAAAUGGAAGUAGUUGGGCAUGCCACGCUGGAUCAAAACACAAUAGGAGCGCCAGUCACUGAAUGAAUCUCAACGGCUUGCCAACCUGAGCCGUAGAAGUUAGAACCACUGCUUUCUUUUGCCCUCGCCCGCAGAGAAUUCCUCCACCCAAGAUUUAUACAUGAGUUUUCCUCAUAAUUACCGUCCUAUACUAAUUAUAACAUAAAUUACAAAUAAAUUACAUAACAGAAAGUGGUUACAAAAAACUUAGAACAAAUAAAGUACAAAUAAAUUGCAUAACGGAAAGUAGAUACAAAGAACUCAUUCAAUAGAUGAUUAAGACGGUAACUCCCUAACAAACUAACACGUAUUCGGAUGAAAAUAGUGGGAUGACCAUAUUAUUUACCAGGAUUUUGGUUUUCUGUAAAGUAAUUAAGAUUAGAUUUGAAUGAUGAUGGAAUUAUGCAUGAAGUUUAUCGACUAAUCAUAUUCAGCUAGUGGUCCCAUUUCGUACUAAUAUUUUAAGAUAUAUAUGCAGUCAACAAUAUUUUGUUUUAUUCUGACUAAUCAGUAGUCACGUUAGUUGUAUAGUGCAGCUGGUAUUAGUCAAGCUAAAGUGAAGAAGUCUCCAUCCAUACGGAGGAAAAAUUCCAAAGUCCAGCACCCGGUUCACGUGUCCAUGCGGCCCUAGAUACAAUAAAGAUUAUAUAUCUCAUCUCUUGAUAUUUGGGGCUCACUACUACUCCAUGUAAUGACUCCAUUCUCACUUUUCACAACACCUUCAUGGCCCUACAUCUUCGGUUUCGAACAAAAGAAUUUCUCAUCCGGAGAAGUUCUUCGGUUCGAAACCUGAGCUAAGGUUAAUAGAGGAGGGGUGAGACCAAAAUUUGGGGUAUGGUGGGCCUCACAAUGAGGGAGUGGGAUAUAGUGCUUUUUUACUGUCUAGGCCGUAGGGAUUUGGUGUUUCGGUUUCUCUACACAAGAAUUUUUCCUCCAUUUUGACAAAUUGGCAAUGACGGCCCCUCUUCUCUAUGUUGUUUAUAGUGUCGAUAUUGUCCCAAUAUACCGAUUGCAGAAAACCCAUAUCAGGAUUAAUAUGUAUUAACAAAAUAUUAAUGCUUUAUUUAAGAAUCAUAACCUUUGGAUGAGUUUACGAUAGAUAAAUACAACAAAGUACAGAUAGUCAAAAGUUCAAACAUUAUUGACGGAUAGUGAAUGUCAAUGAUAAUUCAAGAGUGGUGAGAAAGAUGAUUGGUAUUUAGAACAUCUGGAAGUCACUCGAGGUGAACUAUGGCAUGGUGAAAUCGCAACACGAGUUUCUUCAUUUGAGCAUGGAGUUCUUUCUCGAUGCCUAGACGUACACCUCCGUUUCCAAACAUUGUGUUUGUUGGCACAGCACAAAACCCAUGGUGGCUCUAUGCUGGGAGGUGGAAGUUAUGCAUGUCGUUUCUGUGAUUCCAGGUUGGCCAGUAAAACUCUAAACUUCAUUUUUUUCAUUCGCCAUUGAUAAUUAUAGUACCUGCAGACAAAAAAAGAGUAAUCAUAAGUCACUCACUACUCAUAGAUUUGUUUUAUUUCAAAUGAUCAAAAUUCUAAGACCACGAAAUCUGAACAUACUCGGGAUCAAGAUACCCCACUGUGCUCAUGACCGAUGCCACUAUUGAGUCUUACUAUCGCUGGGAAAAACCAUCUUCCAGGUAGCCACGGUAUACAAUCCCAAAUCCUCCUUUCUCAAUUUCAGUAUGAAAGUUUUCAGUGAUUUCUAAAACCUCAUCAUAAGUAAACUGGGACUUCAUUAAUGCUACAGAAAUUUUCUUAUGCUUUUCUCCAUCUGCAGCUUAAGUAGACAAAAAGAUAUGCGUUCAGACCAAAUGGAUAGAAAUACCACGACGCCACAGUAGCAGCGCCGGUUCUAAGUGUCAAGGGUAUAAAAUGGCACCUGGUUUUCUUGUUCUUCUCAGCUUUCAUACCAGUAUGAGCACUAUAACUUGAAGGGGAGGGUCAUCAUUGAUGGUAACGAUCCUAGUAUUGGAACAACAACGUUCUUCUUGCAUUUGCUUGAAUCUGAGCUAAAAAGAACUUAUAAGCAGACAGAAAAUAUAAAUCUGAAGGACGCAAUACCAUUCGCUUUCAUUAAAGAAAAUGCUAACCUAUUCGGCGUAAACUACAGAAGUCCUUGUAUGGUCUUAAACAGGCUCCUCAGGCAUGGAAUGAGAAGUUUACAAGCUUCUUACCUGGUUUAGGCUUCAAAGCGUCUUUUGCUGAUCCAUCUUUGUUUGUCAAGCAAACAUCCAAUGGUAUUGUGAUCCUCUUACUCUAUGUGGAUGAUAUCAUCCUCACUGGCAGCAGUACAUCUCUUAUGUCUGAAGUCAUUUUAGCUUUGACACAAGAGUUUGAUAUGAAGGACUUGGGCAAUUUACAUUACUUCUUAGGUUUGCAGAUCACUUACAAGAACACAGGCUUGUUUGUUUCUCAAACCAAAUAUAUUCAAGAUCUUCUAGCCAAGGUUGAUAUGCAAGAUGCAAAAUCAUGUGCCACACCUUGCCUUCCUUAUCAUAGGUUAUCUAAGACAGAUGGUACAUCUUAUCAUAGUCCAGAACAAUAUCGCAGUAUCUCCAUGAACGAAACUUGCACAAAGCAGUAGGACGAGGAAACCAGUUGAGAUCUUCAUCUCUCUGUCUCAUUGCAGCCUAUGAACUACCUGGUAUUUAUAACGUGUGACAAUGUCUGGACAUAAAAAACAGAAAAACAUAAACGACACUGGAUUUGUAACCUCAUGCUGCACAACUUGCACAGUACAUGCAUGAUCCUUAUUUCAUGGAGAUGCUUAGUCUACGUCAAUCAAUGGAUCAUUCAAUGUUCAUACUAAGACAGCAAUAUGGUUAAGCAUUUUCUAGUCAAAGCAUUUCAAACAUUGUACAAGUCAGGGAGACAAUCCGAAGUAUUGGACAAAAGUGAUUAAGUCGACAAUAUAGAUACAAACUAGUAGGCUACACUGAUUCACUGCACAACAGAUCCCACACCCAUUUUUAACCCACCAAGUUAUGAACAUGGGAUGAAUGAGAGAGUUUGUAGCUACCUUAGCAUGGUGCUGUCAUGGAACCUGCAUUUGUGGAAUCUGAACAUCUGGAAAUCACUCCAGGUGAACUAUGGUAUGGUGAAAUCGUAACACAAGCUUCUUCAUUCAAGCCAGUUUCUUCAUUUGAGCCUUGAGUUCUUUCUGGAUGCCUAGACACCUUCAUUUCCAAACAUUGUGUUAGUUGACAUGACACAGCACAAAACCCAUGCUGCAGACCCAAAAAAGUAUUCAUAAACCACUCACUGUUCAUAAAUUUGUAUUCAUAACAUGAUAAAAAAAAAUCUAAUAGAACAAGGAAAUUUGAAAAUACUCUGGGUCAAGAUAACCUGCUGUACCCAUGACUGAUGUCACCACUCGAGUCCCAUUAUCACUGGAAAAAACCAUGGAUAUACUGAAAUCUGCUAUUUUCGCGUCCAAGUUUUUGUUGCACUGGGAUUGCUCUCCUCUCUUAAUGCAAUUCUCUUACUGGAUUCCCUUCUUAAGUGAGCUGAAAUACUAAUCAAAUUUAUCUGUGAUUAACGUAUUCUAGAUAACUCGACAUGAUUUUAUUCAAGGAUGAAAGAUUGAAGAAAAAAGUUACAAUUGACUAAACCGAUUACCUUCCACAAAAUUGGUCUCAUAAAACUGUGUUAGUUGAGAGAACCUGCACAGAGUGAGAAGAAACACAGCCUUCUACAAAAGCGUAUCUGCACCAUAACAACCAUGCACAACAAGCCUUAGAACAUAUUCGAAUGCACGUUGAAUGUUGUAAGUUAUACAGAAUGGCCAGAGACUUGUAAACACUUGCAAUUUUACUUCUAAUUACACAUAAAGUACUAAAAGCUUACAACAACAACAACAAAGCCUUUUCCCACUAAGUGGGGUCGGCUAAAAGUACUAAAAGCUUAAUUUCCACAAAAGCCUAAAGUCCUGUUCCAAAAAUAUUAUGAAAGCAAAAUAAUUAAUGUUCUUCCACAAGGCUAGAUAGUCUAUGAUUUUGCAAACCAAAUGGAACUAAGACAAGUGAACAAAACAGAUCAUGAAUUACUGUUCCGGGAAAGAAACCUACACUUGACUGUCGGAAAUGUGUGAAAUCUUGGGCCAGUCGGGCAGGUUGCAUCUUUCUUUAUUCAGAUUCGUACCAGUCCCGAUUGAACUAAGCAAGGAAUAUGUUUGGUUAACACUUAACACUUAACACUUGAGAAAUCGAGAGUGAGUGAACAAUAUUGAACCAAAUAUACAUGAAUAAUUGAUUGGAGAUAAAAAUAAAAAAUACCUCUUAUAUCUGGAAUAUGAUAAAUCUUUGGCCAUUCUGGGCCACUGUUCAUGGUGCAUCUUGGUAUUUACUCUUUGGUUACUAUUAUCUUUAGCAAAUGGAGUAGACUUUGUACUUGAAAGUUGAUGACCAAAUUGACAACUGCCUCCUCUUCAUUUGGCUGCAAUUAAAUCCUAACUAGCUAGUAGCUACCCAGUAAAUGGUGUUGAGCCUGGAGUUCCUUCUCGAUGCCUAGAUACCUCCAUUUCCACAAUUCACAAAACUCAUGGUGGCUCUAUGUUGGGAGGCAUGCCAUGCUGUCUCUGAUGCCUUCCAGACCGAAUUCACUUUAAAUUAUCCUCGAAGCCCUUGAUCGAAAAUAGUCGUUCAAUCCCUGUUCUGGAACUCAAGAUUCACCCACUCCACUAUGUGGACAAGAUCAUCAUUUUCUAUGAAUGCAGGUUGGCCUGUAAAACUCUAAACAUCAAAUUUUUUUCAUUCAACCUUUGCUAAUUAUAGUACCUGCAGACCAAAUAAAGUAAUCAUAGAUCACUCACUGCACAUAGAUUUGUUUUUUUUAACAUAAUCAAAAUUCUAAGAACAGUAGAACAAGAAAUCUAAACAUGCUCGGAAUCAAGAUACCUUGCUGUGCCCAUGACUGAUGCCACCAGAGUCUCAGUGUCACUGGGAAAAACCAUGGACAGACCAAAAUCGCUAUUUUGCAUCCAAGUUUUAAUUCAAGAGAAUGUUGGCUGUCUUUACAUCUCUAUGCACAAUACUGGAUUGUGCAUAUAUAUUAGCAUACAAAAUAACACUAAGCACCUAUCUAACUCAAUAUCUAAUGCUAUCCGAAGUCUCAUUUCCCAAGUUUAUGUGAGCUUCUAUCUGCAUCCGCAACCAGUGACAUGACACUUCAAUAUUUUGAAACCCUCUGUUGGAGGACAACCCUGGACAGACCGAAAUCUGCUAUUUUUUGCAUCUAAGUUUCCGUUGUGCUGUGCUUGCUCUCCCCUCCUAAUGCAAUUCUCUUACUGGAAUCCCUUCUUAAGUGAGCUGAAAUACAAAUCCAAUUUUAUCUGUGAUUAAUGUACUCUAGAUAACUUGACAUGGUUUUAUUCAAGGAUGAAAACCUUGAACAAAGAAGUUACAUAUUGACUAAACAGAUUACCUUCCAUAAAAUUGGUCUGAUAAAACCGUGUGAGUUGAGAGGACAUGCACACAGUGAGAAGAAACACAACCUUGUACAAAAGUGUAUCUGCACCAUAACAAGUAAAAACCAUGCGCAACAUGCCUUAGAACAUAUUUGCAAACCAAAUGGAACUAAGACAAGAGAAGAGAACAAAUCAUGAAUUACUGUUUCGGGAAAGAAACCUACACUUGACUCUGGGAAAUGCGAGAAAUCUUGGGCCAGUCGGGCAAGUGCUUCUUUUAAUUUAGAACGCACCGGUAAAAUUUGGAUUGGCUUCCCUACUGCCAAUAGAUACUUGAGAUUCCGACAACGGUGAAUAGAUAGAUGGUCGAUUCAUGAAAGGUUCCGUCAUCACUCUGGUAAGAGCCUUUUCAAUCAUAUAAUACUGCAGAAAGCGAGAGUGAACGAAGAAUUUUGAACAAAAUAUACAUGGAUAAUUGAUUGGCUCCAAAAAUAAGGGCUCCAAAAAUAAAAACUACCUCAGAUCUGGAAUGUGAGAAAUCUUUGGCCAUUCUGGGCCGCUGUCCUUGGCGCAUCUUUCUUCCAGACGGGGACACCGUCCAAUCAGUAGCUCAUGUAAUUUGGGCAUAGCUUCGACCGUAGGCAGAUACAUCAGGUUCUUACAUUUCCGAAUCGACAACUUAGUAAGAGAUGUGAGGUUGCCCAACCACUCUGGAAGAGCCUCCAGACCAUCGAAUUUCCGAAUUUCCAACUUAGUUAGAGAAGCAGAGUGUUGAAUUUGCGGAGGCAGAGACUUGAGCUUAGGCCACCCGUACAAUCUUAAUUCUUCAAGUUUCGAUGGGACCUGAAUAUCCGGGAAAGAAUCGAGCUCUUGGCAGAAGGCACCGAUCCACAACACUUUCAAACGAGAUAGAGAGUGCAGCCCCUUGGGCAAAUAUUGCAAUUUCCCACAAAAAGAUAAUUGUAAAGAGGAAAGAAAUUGCAAGCUGGACACAUUUUGAUCCGCCAGAGAUAUCAAAUUGGAGCAUUCACUAACAAGCAAAUGGGUAAGAGAUGUGCAGUAUGCAAGCCCACUCGGUAGACUUAUUAAUCCAUCACAUCUCAUAAUAUUCAAUAUAGUGAGGGAUGUGAGGUUGUCUAAACUGGGAAUAGCCUCUAGAUUAGGGCAUUCCCAUAUUUCCAUCUUCUCAAGAGAGACGGGGGUUUGUACUUGUAGCCCAUGACCCGACAAAGUCCUCAAAUUUUGACAAUCCCAGAUACUCAGUUUGCGAAGAGUAGUACAAGAAUGGAGCCCACUCAAUAUACUUGUGAAUCCAUCGUAGUAUUUAAUUGUCAAUUCACAUAGGAAUGUGCAACCAUUUAAAGACAAGUCCCCCUCGAGAGUAGUGCAUCUCUCAAUAACCAAAUCACGGAGUGAGGGCAUACACUGAAUUGAAGUGCAUCUUAGCUUUGGGCAAUUAACUAUUUUCAACUCCUGAAGAGAUUGGGAUGGUGAAUUUGGAAGGAUUCUAGAUCGCCGCAAUCCUCAAUUUUCACCAUCUCAAGUGAGGGGCAAUAUUCUAACCCACAACACAAGCUCGACAAUUUCUCACAUCUCUUAAUUCUCAAUUGACGGAGAUUGGUUACUCGACAAUUUCUCAUCAUCCAAGAUGCAAAUUUAGUACCAUUGAAUUCCUUAAUCGUCAAGCUUUCUAAGUUGGGGUGCGGUUGGAGUCCUUCGAGAAUAUCCUCGUUAAGAAAAUUGCCAUUUUUUUCUUCAGGAGGGACCCAACUCCAUUUUAAUAUCAAUUUUCGUAGGUUUGCCUUUUCCACUAAUUUUGAUUUUAUUGCUUCUUCCUUGUCUCUCACAAAAUCCAAUGAUCCAAUAACUAGUUCCCCUUUCAGUUCAUUUAGCCCACCUAGCUCAUCAAGUCUAUGACGCCUUGCUCUAUCCAAUUUAAAAGAAGGUAGCAUUUGCAGAUGAGUCAAUCUUUUCAUCCCAAAUGGAACUUCCUUAUCCUUAUCAAAAUAAACAUGUCUCAAGUUGAUCAAAUUUUCCAUUUCCCUAGGAAACGUUUUAAGAUUGUCUGUAUUUGACAUUCUUAACGUCUGAAGAUUAUAGAGCUUGCCCAUAGAUUUGGGGAGUGCUUUUAAUUUUGUACUUGAAAUAUUGAGAUACCUCAAGCGUUUCAACUUUCCAAUUGAGAUGGGCAACUCCUCUAUUACAGCCAUGUAUAAAUUCAAUGUCCGUAAAUCUCUGAACCUUUCAAACAUGUUACUGAACUCAAAGCGUCGUGGAGGAAACAAUGAUAGCAAUCUCCUAACGCUUCCUUGUAGAAAUCUUUCAAGUGUCGUGGAAGAAAUCCGGGCAACAUGCUGAAUCUCAAGUGCUCCAUCGUCCAUCCGAUCCAAGUCUCGUGUCAAGCUUUCAAAUUUGAAUACUUCCUCAGCAAGAUCAUGCACAAGAUCGUGCAUCUUGCAUUUGGUAUUCCCAUACUCAUCUUCUCUUUCUCUUCUAUGUGCAUACUGAUAGUUUCUAGCAUAUUGAAAUAAAGAGUUUUGCAAUAGAAUAUUAAAAUAUUCAUUACCUUUAUCCUCCAUGGGAGAAGAAUGGAGAUAUCCUUGAGCCAUCCAGAGUUGGACCAAGUCAUCUUUUUCAAUCUCACAAUCUUUUUCAAACAUUGAGCAAUAUGCAAAACAUUGCUUCAAUGAUGGCUCUCUUAAAUUAUCAAAACUCAACUUCAAGAUCGGCAUGAUUCGGUCCUCUCGAUCUGGUAAUUCCCAUAUUUUACUUUCUAGAAUUGACGACCAUUCCUGUGAAUGCAUCAAGCUUCCUAAAACCUGUUGAUACAUAAGAUAAUUAGUUUCUAUAUGUUGUAGAAUAAUAAAACCUGAUUAGCAAAAUAAUAACAGUGCCAAAUUUUAGUUUUAUUGAAUUUUGACUAACAUUAUUGGCAAGAUAAUGACGCAUUGAACUCAACUUUGUUUUGUAUCGAUGAAAAGUGAAAGACUGCUCCUGUUAGAAGAGAAAUACUAAAGGGACUUGCUAGCCAAGUAAGAAUUGGUUUCAGAAUUAAUUGAAAGAUACUUUAUUAGAUCAGUUAAAUAUAAGUUUUAAUUUUUUUUUAGUACAUCAAUAUGUUUUUAUAUUAAAGGGAGGGAGAGUUCGGCUAAACCACAUAAUGGAUAACAUAAUUUGGUAUCGAAUUCACCAUCCACAAGAUUUGAACCUAAGACCUCUCACUUUCAAGUGAAGAGAAAUACCAUGAUACUGUAGUAUUGGAGCUAUAAGUUUCAAUUAGAUACUUAUGAUAACUGGGUAAUUGAAUGGUUUGUAACAAUGCACUAGGAAGGUAGUAUUUUGAAGGAGCGCUUUGAUCCACAUUUUCUACUUUGACAUGUAUAUAUAAGGUUAAGCUUCGGAGACACUCAUUUUUGAAACAUAUUUUAACACAAGUUUUCGUGGCUUUCAUUCUAUAAUUUUUUUUUUUCAAGGAUCUCAAUCAUUUAUAUUUCAAUUCAUCAUUCAUAAAUCUUUCUUGUAAAAAAUUAGAAAAAUCCAAACUCAUUUUGACAUUUAUUUGUAGUGAAGGAAAAAGCCGAUAUGAUUCUACAAAGAUACACUAAAUUUACGCAAUUGCGCGAUGAGCACAAAGUGAACUAUUCUUUCGCCUUUUACUAAAGAAACACUAAAUUUGAUCCAAUGGUUUUUUUGGUAGAGAUGAUAUUUUAGGGAAGACGUCAAAUAUAAGACGGUUUAAUUGUUGAAAUACAUUAAACACACAAUAUAUAUAUAUAUAUAUAUAUAUAUAUAUAUAUAUAUAUAUUGGUUUUAAGGGAAGGUAUCCACAUUUUUUUUAUAAAAUUAGGGAUCUGUUGUGGGGCCCACACCACAUCGAAUUUUAACGAUCCGAACCGUCUAUUUUUUAAGUUGCACCUCAAAGAUCAUCCUUGCAAAAUAUUAGCCAAAUUGGAAAUAUUUAAGACAUCUAAAUGGGUUCAAAGAAAUUAACGAAUACUUGUUAUAUAAAAAACAACGAAAUUUUAUCUUGAUAAUUAAAUAGGCAAAUGAUUUCAGAUUGAAUUGAAUUGUUGCAAGAAUGAUCUAUGAAUCGAGACUUACAAAAUAGACUAUUUAGAUCAUUGAAGUUCGAUGUGAAGUGGCCUACGGAUUGUGUCAAAAAAUGUGUCUCCCAAUCCUAAUCCAUAUAUAUAUAUAUAUAUAUAUAUAUAUAUAUAUUAUAUAAACAAAAUUGACCCUUUAAAGCUCACUAUUAUGUUUUUCAUGCAAUUUUCCUUUAAAAAUGUUGGACAAAAUUAGAUAUACCAAGUUAAGGCUUUUUAUAAUGGCGAUUAUGUUGAAUAUUUAAUCAUACUUAUAUUACUAACGUAUAGUGAUAUUUUUUUUACCUGUAACUGAAGGGUCUUAAGUUUGACUCAUAUGAAUGGUGAUGACACAUUAUAUUUAUUUGAGUUUGAGAUCUAGUAAUGACUAAUCCAUUAUAUGGCCUAGCCCAAUUAAACUUAGGGGGAGUCUAUCCAGGAGUCUCACUUGACCUUAAUAUAUUCUUUUUCCCAAUAGUUUGAAGCAUUUUUUCCUUUAAGUUUUUGCUACCUAAUAAGGUUUUAAUGAGACACCCAUCUUGGGAUUGUCAUACCCUUGUGUGCGUCCUUUUAGACGUUUAAUCUUUACUUUGCAUUAACUCAUAUUUCUCCUUAAGACUUAUUUUCAUAUGCAAGUUCCUUAUUUAAAACUAGCAUGUUUCUCUAUCAGUGCCUACGAGACGACUUCAUACUAUUUUUACAAAUCUGAUGCAAUAUCUACUUGAGUAUUUACACACUCAAGGGGGAGUGUUGUAAUUAAUAUUUGACAUUGUGUGUGUUUGUACCAUACUUGACCAAUCCCGAAACUACUGAGCAUCGGUCAACGUUAUAGCGUCAAGGACCCAAAAGAGUUUCCCUCCAACCAGAAGGUCAAUCACAGCGAGACACGUGUUGACAUCAGAAGCCAAUCAUAGCGCGACACGUGUCAACAUCAGAAGCCAAUCACACGUGUCAAUGUCAGAAUGAAACUAGAAACUCUCUUCUAUAAAUAGAGAUCAUUCUCUCACAAUAUUUCCUAAUGUCAUUUGUACUAAAUCAUUCACUUGUACUCACUAAAGGAGAGCUUGAACCUAUGUACUUGUGUAAACCCUUCACAAUUAAUGAGAACUCAUCUACUCCGUGGACGUAGCCAAUCUGGGUGAACCACGUACAUCUUGUGUUUGCUUCCCUGUCUCUAUCCAUUUACAUACUUAUCCACACUAGUGACCGGAGCAAUCUAGCGAAGGUCACAAACUUUACAUUUUCUGUUGUACCAAAGUCCUUACUGAUUUUGUGCAUCAACAUUUGGCGCCGUCUGUGGGAACGACACUUAUUCCCAUUCUCUUCAGCUUUGCCAAGCUGGUUUCCACCAUUCGUACACUCUCUUUUGACCAGGCAUCCCUCUCCAACAUGGGGAGCAAAGGAAGCCAGAGCACACAGAAUGACACCCAUCUUGCACCUAGUGCAAAGCAACGAAAGAAGGAAGGAAAUAAGGCUACUCUUCAAGCUAAAGUCGAUGAGCUAGAAGCUCAGAACAACAAGAUAGCAAUGAAGAAUGAGAUCCUCCGGGAGCAGUAUGAGAAGCUUUUUUAGACGCUCCACGAAACUAGGCAUACUCAAACACGCGAGCUCGUUGCCCCUGUAGACAUCAACCAUCAUCUGGGUGCCCCCCAACAUGGAGGGUAACCUCCCUUCGACAUGGGUAUCCCUGAUGAGGAGCGAGCUAAUCAUCAAAACAUUGAUCAACAUGAGACUUCUCUCAACCAGAUGCUUCGACCCAAAGUAGAAGAAGUGGAGGAAGAUACCUCCUUGCAGAAGGGUUGGAACUUAUCAAUCUCUAACCAACGAGACAAGGCACUUGCAAUUCCAAGGAAUUAAAAUCCUAACUAUCAAACCUCUGUUUGGAAUGCCCUAGCUCCUUGAGUUGACGAUGGAGAAAGUAUUUUAACCGCAACUUGAGUGCCAUCUUCCAAGUAGCCAUGGUAUACAAUCCCAAAUCCUCCUUUCCCAAUUUCAGUUUGAAAGUUUUUGGUGAUUUUUAAAACCUCGUCACAAGUAAACUGGGACUUCAUUGAUGCUACUGGUGUGCUACAUGUGUUUUGUUAUGUUUCUCCAUCUGCAGCUUAAGGACAAAAAGUUAUGAGUUCUAACUGGAUAGGAAUACCACUACGCCAUAGUAGCAGCGCUAUUUCUAACUAUAUAAUUAUCAAGGGCAUAAAAUGGCACCUGGUUUUCUUAUUCUUCUCAGCUUCCAGACCAGUAAGAGCACUAUAACUUGAAGGAGGGCCAUUGUUGAAAGUAAUGAUCCAAGUAUUGGAACAACAAUGUUCUUCUUGCACUUGCUUGAAUCUGAGCUAAAAAGAACUUAUCAGCAGAUAGAAAAUAUAAAUCUGAAGGACGCAAUACCAUUUGCUUUCGUUAAAGAAAAUGCUAACCUAUUCAGCACUCUCCAUGAACGAAACUUGCACAGAGCAGUAGGACGAGGAAACCAGUUGAGAUCUUCAUCUGUCUCAUUGCAGCCUAUGAACUACCUGGUAUUUAAAAUGUGUGACAAUGUCCUGACCAAAAAAACAGAAAAACAUAUAUGACAGUGUUGAUUUGUAAUCUCAUGCUGCACAACUUGCAGAGUACAUACAUGAUCCUUUACAUGGGGAUGCUUAGUCUACGUCAAUCAAUGGAUCAUGCAAUGUUCAUACUAAGAGAGCAAUUUGGUCAACCCAACGUAUUUUCUAGUCAAAGCAUUUAAAACAUUGUUCCUAUUAGGGUUAUGUGGUGUGAUACAAGUCAGGGAGAUAACCCGAAGUAUUAGACAAAAGUGAUUAAGUCGAGGACAAUAUAGAUGCAUACUUGUAUUUAGCCUAGACUGAUUCACUGCACAACAGAUCCCAACCCCAUUUUUAACCCACCAAGUUUUGAACAUGGGAUGAACGAGAGAGUUUGUAGCUACCUAGCAUGCUGCUGUCAUGGAACGUGCAUUUGUGGAAUCUGAACAUCUGGAAAUCACUCUAGGUGAACUCUGGUAUUGUGAGAUCAUAACAAGAGUUUCUUCAUUUGAGCCUGGAGUUCUUUCUCGAUGCUUAGACACCUCCAUUACAUACAUUUUAUUAGUUGGCACAGCACAAAACCAACCAUGGUGGCUCUAUGUUGGGAGGUGGAAGUUGUGCAUGCCAUUGCUGUCUUUAAUGAUUUCCUGACCGAAUUCACAUCGAACUUUCUUUGAAUCCUUCGAUCCAAAUUAGUUGUUAAAUCACCAUUCUGGAACUCAGAAUUCACCCACUCCACGAUGCAGACAAGAUCAUCACUUUCUAUGAUUGCAGCCUUGCAGGUUGGCCCGUAAAACUCUAAAAUUCAACCUUUGAUAAUUAUAGUACCUGCAGACAAUAAAAAGUAAUCAUAAAUAAACCACUCACUGUUCAUACAUUUGUAUUUAUAACAUGAUAAACAAUCUAAUAGAACACAGAAAUUUGAAUAUACUCGCAAUCAAGAUAACCCGCUCUGCCCAUGACCUAUGUCACCACACGAGUCCCAUUAUCACUGGAAAAAACCACAGACAGACCGAAACCUGCUCUUUUCGCAUCCAAGUUUUCGUUGUACUGUGCUUGCUCUCCCCUCUUAAUGCAAUUCUUCUAUUGGAUUCCCUUCUUGAGUGUAGCUGAAAUACAAAUCCAAUUUAUCUGUGAUUAACGUAUUCUAGAUAACUCGACAUGAUUUUAUUCAAGGAUGAAAGACCGAAGAAAGAAGGUGUAUAUUGGCUAAACAGACUACCUUACACAAAACUGGUCUCAUAAAAUUGUAUCUGCACCAUAACACCAUGUGGAAGAUGUCUUAGAACAUAUUCGAAUGCACAUUGGACGUUAUAACAUAUACAGAAUGACCACGGAUUCGUAAACAGUUGCAAAUGUACUUCUAUUAACUCAUAUUUAAGGACUAAAAAGCUUAAUCUCCACAAAAGUCUAAAGUGUUGUUCCAAAAAGAUUGUGAAAGCAAAGAAAUUAAUGUUCUUCCAUGAGGCUAGAAAGUGUAUGAUUUUGCAAACUAAAUGCAACUAAGACAAGAGAACAGAACCAAUCACGAAUUACUGUUUCGGGAAAGAAACUUACACUUGACUGUCAGAAAUGCAAGAAAUCUUGGGCCAGUUGAGCAGGUUACUUCUUUUAAUUUAGAACACAACAGUAAAAUGUAGACUGGCUUUCCUACUGUCGACAGAUACUUCAGGUUCCAACAACGGUGAGUAGAUAGAUCGUCGACACAUGAAAGGUUCCGUCAUCACUCUGGUAAGACCCUUCUGAAUCAUCCAGUGCCAUUGUUGAUGGUAAUGAUCCAAGUAUUGGAACAACAAUAUUCUUCUUGAGCUUGCUUGAAUCUAAUCUAAAAAUAACUUAUCAGCAGAUACAACAACAACAACAACAACAACAAAGCCUUUUCCCACUAAGUGGGGUCGGCUAAAAAUAACUUAUCAGCAGAUAGAAAAUAUAAAUCUGAAGGACGCAACGCCAUUCACAAAACUUGCCCAGAGCAGCAGGACGAGGAAACCAGUUGAGAUCUUCAUCUCUCUGUCUCAUUGCAGCCUAUGAACUACCAGGUAUUUAAAACGCAUGACAAUAUCCCGGCCAAAAAAAUUGAAAAACGUAUAUGAGUGCGAAUGAUCCUUAUUACAUGGGGAUGCUUAGUGUACGUCAAUCAAAAUGCAAUGUUCAUACUAGAGCAAUUUGGUCAAGCCAACGUAUUUUCUAGUCAAAGCAUUUCAAACAAUGUUCCUGUUAGGGUUAUGUGCUGUGAUACAACCCGAAGUAUUGGACAAAAGUGAUUAAGUUGAGUACAAUAUAGAUACAUAUUAUUAUGUAGCCUACACUGAUUCACUACAUAACAGAUCCCACACCCAUUUUUAACCCACCCAGUUUUGAACAUGGGAUGAAUGAGAGUUUGUAGCUACCUAGCUAUUAAGGGUGAAAAUGUAAUACAAUUAGUAAUAUAAUUAGGUAGUUAGUAUUUGGUUAAAGUAGUUAGGAUUUCUAUAUAAACAGUAUGUGUAAUCUUCAUUUGAGUUAGUUAAUACAAAUCCUAUUUCUCUCUCUAAACUCUCUGUCUCUCAAACUCUCUGUAUUGAUCUUUCUUCUCUUCAUCUUUCUUGUUGAUUUUCUUUCAAUUCCCAAAUAUUACAAUGUAGUUAAUAUGGUAUCAGAGCCACCAGGCUCACGCCAUGGAUUCUGGUGGUUUCACUUCCCAUUAUUUUACAUUUGGUUCUAGCUUAGUUCUAUCCAAAUUUUCAUUAGAUGUUAGGAAUUACGAUAAGUUUCUGGGUGCUUCCACGAUCGUUCUUUUACUUCUGGGUUGAUGUGUUUCUGGGUUGAUUUCUUUCUGAUCAAAUUCAUGAGUCUAUUCCCGAUCGAAAGCGAGAGAUCGAAAGUUGGAGAAAAUUUCAAAGCAAAAUGGUGGCAGAGCAAAUGCAGAGAGUAGCAUCUCCACCGUCGCAAUCGAUUGAGGCGCCGAAGAAGAAUAGAAUUCAGGUCUCCAACAAUAAGAAACCGCUCUUCUCGUUAAUCUUGCUAAGAGGUACAUAAAGCAGUACUAGGAGACUCAGUAUUCUGGGUCCGAUUGCGGAGGUUUCUUUGAUAUCUUGAUCAUGGCGGUUGGGCAACUCUUGGCGUUUGCACUACUUGCCUGGUAAUGUUGCUUUUCCGAUUCAGUUGCUUAAUUUCAUUAUUGGGUAACUUGAUUUGUUGAUUCUUGGAGGGUUCUUAGAGAUCUUUGAUCAGAACAGUGGACUGUGAAUUGGGUUCAAUUACUUGCUUUGAUUAGUAGAUGACUAGCACAGUUUUUCGAUUCAAGGAGGUGGUGUUGCUAAUUCCUUAAUUGGGUAUAUGAAGAAACAGUUGUUAAUUACUUAAUUGGUAAUUCUGAUUCUUGAAGAUGGUUUUGGGGAUUCAAUUUGUUCAGUUUGGACUGUUGCUCAAAGAAAGUACUGUUUUAUAAUCUGUUUUUGUAUAGGAAAUGGUUGUUGUUUGUUCAAGAUUGCAAAUCUUGGGAGCUCUUCAGGUUAUGAUUAUGUGCACUCCAACUGUUUGAAGGAAUGGGUCAGUAAAUUCUUUGAUCUCUACUCUGUUCUCUGGUAUGGAAGAAAGAUCAGACAUGGGUGCAGUCCAGGUGUUUGUUGAAAUGCCCAACUCAAACGUUUCAUGUGAAGUCUUUGUGGUAGUCUUAGCUGAACUUUUGUGGGAUCAAUUAAAAACCAAAAGGACUCAUUCUAGAAGCUCGUCAAAAGUGCAACAACCAUUUAGUUCUUGGUUCAUGGAUGAUCUUCUUGCAUUUUUUGAUAGAUCGGAAGAUACGACAAAUGAAUGUAUAGUAUGUGUUGUCAUUUACAACAUUGAUGGACCUGGACUAAGGGAAUCAGAAACCCAACAGUGUCUUGCAUGAGUUGUUUCUUGUUCUUAUAUUUGCAUUUUGGCCUCUAUAUGACAGCAUGUUUAGUGCACUGUGAAGUGGGAUGUCCUCCGAAUGUGAGCUCAUACAACACCAUGUUUAGUGCAUUGUGGAACUGUGGAGACAGAGUUUGAGCUUCGCAAAUGGUAUCAGAAAUGUUAAGCAAAGGAAUAGAUCCCGAUGGGAUUACUUACAAUUCGUUUACAUCGUGUUUGUGCAGUAUAUUUUCUUAUCUCAGCCUAUAAUUUCAUAGUCUAACCAACUCAGUUGUUAGCAUGAAUCUACAGUAAGUCCGGUUAUACGAUGAAGGAAGUUGUGAACGGUCAAUCCCACGAAGGGUAAUUCCGUGAUGUGAAUAGGUAAAUCCCACGAAAGGUAGAAGUUGUUAACGGUAAAUCCCACAAAGGGUAAUUCCGUGAUGUGAGUAGGUAAAUCCCACGAAGGGUAAUCCUACAUAGAUGUUGAUUUUCAAUUGUGAAGGCCGAUGCCAUUGUUCAAAGAAGUUGUUUUUUGGUAAAAUCCACAAAGGGCGAUCCCGUGGUGCUAUAGUUAAGGCCGAUGCCAUUGUUCAAAGAAGUUGUUUUUUGGUAAAAUCCACAAAGGGCGAUCCCGUGGUGCUAUAGUUAAGGCCGAUGCCACACUAUAGUUUGUUAAUUUUCUGUUUUUGUAAAUAUUAAAGGCCGAAGCCAAGUUGAAUGAGAUUGUUGACGGUGAAUCCCAUGAAGGGUAAUCCCGUAAGAAAUUGUUAUAACCGGCAUGAGGGUGUGCUACGACUCCUUUAUAGAAGGUUGUUCUUUGUGAAGAUACUGUUAGAGGCAGGGGAAGGAUGUCAUGAUUUCGGUCCACUGGUUGGAGUCAGAAGCUGGAAAUAGCAAGAUGAACAACUUCAUUAUUACACACUACUCCAAACUGCAAGUGACAGAGCAAUGGAACAUUAUUUGCCCAGAUCAAGUUGAAUGAGUUGAAAUUGGACACAGUUUGAUAACAUUUGAAGCAGAGAAGAUACUCAUUUUUGCCAUUUUACACACCCAUGAUGGAACAGUUGUUUUCUUGUUCUUUUUAUAAGAUGAAGUUGUUGAUGUCUGAUUAAAGUACUUUGAAAAUUGCUUUCAACUUUUGGAAGAUUGGUGCACCCAAACAUGGGGAAUUGGGUUACUCUUCCUUAGCGCCAUUGAUCGGUCUGCUCCAAUCUCAAUAUGAGUUUCCCCAGUUGAGAUUGAGGGGGAGUAUUAAGGGUGAAAAUGUAAUACAGUUAGUAAUAUAGUUAGGUAGUUAGUAUUUGGUUAAAGUAGUCAGGAUUUCUAUAUAAACAGUAUGUGUAAUCUUCAUUUGAGUUAGUUAAUACAAAUCCUAUUUCUCUCUCUAAACUCUCUGUCUCUCAAACUCUCUGUAUUGAUCUUUCUUCUCUUCAUCUUUCUUGUUGAUUUUCUUUCAAUUCCCAAAUAUUACAAUGUAGUUAAUACUAGCAUGGUGCAGUCAUGGAACCUGCAUUUGUGGAAUCUGAACAUCUGGAAAUCACUCUAGGUGAACUAUGGUAUGGUGAAAUCGUAACACGAGUUUAUUCAUUUGAGCCUGGAGUUCUUUCUGGAUGCCUAGGCACCUCCAUUUCCAAACGUUGUGUUAGUUGACAUGACACUGCACAAAACUCAUGCUGCAGACCAAAAAAAGUAAUCAUACACCACUAACUGUUCUUACAUUUGUAUCCAUAACAUGAUAAAAAAUCUAAACCACGAACAAAUCAAGAUAACCCGCUGUGCCCAUGAUUGAUGUCACCACACAAGUCCCAUUAUCACUGGAAAAAACGAUGGACAUGCUCAAAUCUGCUAUUUUCGAGUCCAAGUUUUCGUUGCGCUGGGAUUGCCUCCUCUCUUAAUGCAAUUCUCUUGCUGGAUUCCCUUCUUAAGUAAGCUGAAAUACAAAUCAAUUUAUCUGUGAUUAACGUAUUUUACAUAACUUGACAUGAUCUUAUUCGAGGAUGAAAGAUGGAAGAAAGAAGUUACAUUUUAACUAAACAUAUUACCUUCCAUAAAAUUGGUAUAAUAAAACUGUGUUCGUUGGGUGAACCCACUGCCGUAGAUACUUGAGAUUCCCACAGCUCUGAAUAGAUAGUUCGUCCACACACGAAAGGUUCCGUCAUCACUCUGGCAAGAGCCUUUUGAAUCAUCAAGUGACAAUGCUUCCGAUUCUUCACCCGACUAAUAUCCCGUUUAUUGCAGAAAACGAGAGUGAGUGAACAAUAUUGGACAAAAUAUACAUGGAUAAUUGAUUGCAAAUAAAAAUAAGGGCUCCAAAAUAAAAAUUACCUUUGACAACUGGAAUGUGAUAAAUCUUUGGCUAUUCUGGGCCGUCCCUAGCGCAUCUUUCUUGGAGACGGGGACACCAUCGGAUCUCUAGCUUAUGUAAUUUGGUUAGGCGUUGCAUAGCUUCGACCGCAGGCAGAAACAUCAGAUUCUUACAAUAGGAAAUUUCCAACUUUGUAAGAGAUGUAAGGUUGCCCAACCACUCUGGAAGAGCCUCCACACCAUGGAACUUAUAAAUGGACAAAGAUGUUAGACAAGUAGAGUGUUGAAUUGGCUGAGGCAGAGACUUGAGCUUAGGCCACCCGUAUAAUAUUAAUUUUUCCGAUGGGACCUGAAGAUCCGGGAAAGAAUCGAGCUGCUUGCAGAACUUACCGAUCCACAACCUUUUCAAACCAGAUAGAGAGUGCAGCCCCUUGGGCAAAUAUUGUAAUUUCCGACAAUUAGAUACAGAUAGAGAGGAAAGAGAUUGCAAGCUGGACAAAUUGUGAUCUGCUAGAGAUAUCAAAUUGUGGCAACCAUCGACAUACAAACUGGUAAGAGAUAUGCAGGAUGCAAGCCCACUCGGUAUACUUGUUAAUCGACCGCAAUCCACAAUCUGCAACUCAGUGAGGGAUGUAAGGUUGUCUAUACUGGGAAUAGCCUCUAGAUCAGGGCAUUCGCUGAUAAUUAGAACUUCAAGUGAGACGGGGGUUUGUAGCCCAUGACCCGACAACGUCCUCAAAUUUGGACAAUGCCAAAUACUUAGGGGGGUGUAUUCAAUUGAGAAUGUGAGAGAUUUUAAUGGAUUUAUAAAUCUAUGGAUUUUUAUGGAGUUUAAUUGAUUUGUAGAGAUUCCAUAUAAAAUUUUGAUUCAAUUCCCUCGAAAUCUCAUGGGAAGAGGUGAGAUUUGUGGUUACUUAAAAUACACUAUGAAAUCUCUCCAAUUCCCUCUAAUUCCUCGACUUUCUCAAAUUCUUUAAAAUCAAUUUCUAAUUGAAUACAUCUGGAAUGUUAUAAACUUCUUUAAAAUCUUAAUUGAAUACACCUGGAUUUCUAAGGAUUUUAAUAAACUAUUUAAAAAUUCUAAUUGAAUACACCUAGAAUUUCAGAGAAUCCCUUAAAAUCCUGAUUGAAUACCCCUAGAUUCAUUAAAAGAAUUAAAAUCCCUUAAAAUCCCAAUUGAAUACACCCCCUUAGUGUGCGAAGACUAGUACAAGAAUGGCGCCCACUCAGUAUACUUUUGAAUCCAUUGCAAUUUUCAAUAAACAAAUCAUGGAGGGAUGUGCAACCGUUUAAAGACAAGUCAUCCUCCUCCUCCUCCGGUAAGAAAUCUACCGACUUCUCAAUUCACAAAAGACGGAGUGAGGGCAAACUGUGAAUUGAAGUGCAUCUUAGCUUUCAGCCUCCAACUAUUCUCAACUCCUCCGAUGAGAAACCCGUUCUGCCCAUGACCAAUGUCCCUACACAAGUCUCAUUAUCACUGGAAAAAAAACCAUGGACAGACCGAAAUCUGCUAUUUUUUGCAUCUAAGUUUCCGUUGUGCUGCGCUUGCUCUCCUCUCCUAAUGCAAUUCUCUUACUGGAAUCCCUUCUUAAGUGAGCUGAAAUACAAAUCCAAUUUUAUCUGUGAAGACUGUGAUUAAUGUAUUCUAGAUAACUUGACAUGGUUUUAUUCAAGGAUGAAAGCUUUGAACAAAGAAGUUACAUAUUGACUAAACAUAUUACCUUCCAUAAAAUUGGUCUAAUAAAACUGUGUGAGUUGAGAGGACCUGCACACAGUGAGAAGAAACACAACCUUGUACAAAACUGCGAGAAAUCUUGCGCCAGUCGGGCGGAUUGCUUGUUUUAAUUUAGAAGGCAACAGUAAAAUUUGGAUUGGCUUCCCUACUGCCGAGUGCCGAUAGAUACUUGAGAUUCCCACAACGGUGAAUAGAUAAAUGGUCGAUUCAUGAAAGGUUCCGUCACCACUCUGGUAAGAGCCUUUUCAAUCAUCAAGUGACAAUCAUUCUGCUGUCAAUACUGCAGAAAACGAGAGUGAAUGAAGAAUUUAGAACAAAAGAUACAUGGAUAAUUGAUUGGAGAUAAAAAUGAGCACUCCAAAAAAAAAAAUUACCUCAGAUGUGGAAUGUGAGAAAUCUUUGGCCAUUCUGGGCCGCUGUCCUUGGCGCAUCUUUCUUCCAGACGGGGACACCGUCCAAUCUCUAGAUCAUGUAAUUUGGUUAGGCGUUGCAUAGCUUCGACCGUAGGCAGAUACAUCAGAUUCUUACAUUUCCAAAUUGACAACCGUGUAAGAGAUGUGAGGUUGCCCAACCAUUCUGGAAGAGCCUCCAGACCAUCGAAACAAGAAAUGGACAAACGUGUUAGAGAAGCAGAGUGUUGAAUUUGCUGAGGCAGAGACUGGAGCUUAGGCCACCCGUACAAUCUUAAUUGUUUCGAUGGGACCUGAAAAUCAGGGAAAGAAUCGAGCUCUUGGCAGAAGGCACCGAUAGACAACACUUCCAAACGAGAUAGAGAGUGCAGCCCCUUGGGAAAAUAUUGUAAUUUCCCACAUUCAGAUAAAUAUAAAGAGGAAAGAGAUUGCAAGCUGGACACAUUGUGAUCCGCCAGAGAUAUCAAAUUGUCGCAUGAGUCGACCAGUAAUUUGGUAAGAGAUGUGCAGGAUGCGAGGCCACUUGGUAUACUUGUUAAUCGAUCGCAGUUGCCAAUAGACAAUUCAAGGAGGGAUGUGAGGUUGUCUAAACUGGGAAGAGCCUCCAGAUUACUGCAAUGCUUGAUACUUAGAUGUUCAAGAGAGACGGGGGUUUGUAGCCCAGGACCCGACAAAGUCCUCAAAUUUGGACAUUUAUAAAUAUCCAUUGUGCGAAGACUGGUACAAGAAAGGAGCCCACUCAGUAUACUUUUGAAUCCAUCGCAGUAUCUAAUAAUCAAAUGACGGAGGGAUGUGCAACCGUUUAAAGACAAGUCUUCCUCGAGAGUAGUGCAUCUCUCAAUAACCAAAUCACGGAGUGAGGGCAUAUUCUGAAUUGAAGUGCAUCUUAACUUUGGGCAAUCAACUAUUUUCAACUCCUCAAGAGACUGGGAUGAUGAAAUUUGGAAGGAUUCUAGAUUGCGGCAAUAUUUAAUUUCCACUGUCUCAAGUGAAGGGCAAUAGUCUAACCCACAACACAAGCUCAACAAUUUCUCACAACUCCUAAUUCUCAAUUCACGGAGAUUGGUUACUCGACUGCAUAUAUUUUCUAUUGGCAUGGCGUUAUCAACAUAACGUAUAUCUAACUCCCUGAGAGAUGGAAAAUGAGUGGGAGCACUUGCCAAUCCCCGACAAUGCUCUAUUGUCAACUGCUCAAGGCAGGGAAACACUACUAAGGCUGCUUUCUCACCUGUUGACCUCACUUUCUCAACAACCGCUUCCUUCCAUUCACUUAAUGAUGGGCAAUGGAUAAAUGAUAAGCUUUUCAAUGCUGGAAACAAAGUCACCUCCGUGGCCGCCUCAUCAUUAUUAAUGUAUUUAUAACCAUAAAACUCAACUCCAACACAUUUAAGCUUCUCCAUAUUCUCAAAUAAAAUACGUCUAAGAUUCGGCAAGUGUCCGAGUGGUGGGACUGCUUCACAUUCUACACAACAGCUUAACUCAAUCUCUAUUAAAUUGAUGGGCAACGAAUCGCUCAUCAUCCAUGAUGCAAAUUUAGUACCCUUGAAUUCCUCAAUCCUCAAGCUUUCUAUGUUGGGGUGCGGCUGGAGUCCUUCAAGAAUAUCCUCGUCAAGAAAAUUGCCAUUUCUUUCUUCAGGAGGGACCCACCCCCAUUUUAAUAUCAAUUUUCGUAGGUUUGCCUUUUUCACUAAUUUUGAUUUCAUUGCUUCUUCCUUGUCUCUCACAAAUUCCAAUGAUCCAAUAACUAGUUUCCCUUUCAGUUCAUUUAACCCACCUAGCUCAUCAAGUCUAUGACGCCUUGCUCUAUCCAAUUUAAAAGAAGAUAGUGUUUGCAGAUGAGUCAAUCUUGUCAUUCCAAAUGGAACUUCCACAUCCCCGUCGAAAUAAACAUGUCUCAAGUUGAUCAAAUUUUCCAUUUCCCUAGGAAACGUUUUAAGCCUCCAUGCUCUUAACAUUCUUAACGUUUGAAGAUUAUAGAGCUUGCCAACAGAUUUUGGGAGUUCUUUUAUUCCUGUCCAGGAAAUGUUGAGAUACCUCAAGCGUUUCAACUUUCCAAUUGAAUUGGGCAACUCCUCAAUUUCAGCAUCGAAUAAAUUCAACAUCCGUAAACCUUUAAACCUUUCAAAGAUGUUACCACUAGGGACCUUGCAAUCAACAAACAACGACCGCAAUCUCUUAACACUCCCUUUUGGAAUUCUUUCAAGUGUAGUGGAAGAAAUCCGCGCAACAUGCUGAAUCUCAAGUGCAUCAUCAUCCAUCUGAUCCAAGUCUCGCGUCAAGCUUUCAAAUUUGAAUGCUUUUUCUGCAAGAUCAUGCACCAGAUCGUGCAUCUUGCAAAUGGUAAUACUGUACUCUUCUCUAGCAUCUUGAAAUAAAGAAUUUUGCAAUAGAAUAUUAAAAUAUUCAUUACCUAUAUCCUCCAUACUCACGUUGGUAGAAGAAUGGAGAUAUCCUUGAGCCAUCCAGAGCUGGACCAAGUCAUCUUUUUCAAUUUCAAAAUCUUUCACAAACAUUGAGCAAUAUGCAAAACAUUGCUUCAAUAAUGACGGUGUUAAAUUAUCAAAACUCAACUUCAAGACCGACAUGAUUUUCUCCUCUUCAUUUGGUAAUUCCCAUAUUUUACUUUCUAGAAUUGACGACCAUUCACGCCUGCUAUUUUUAGAACGCAUCAGGCUUCCUAAAACCUGUUGAUAUAUAAGUUAGUUUCUACGUAUUUUAUAAUAUAAAAAGGUGAUUAGCACAAUAAUAAUCCCAAAUUAUAGUUUCAUUGAAUUUUGAAUAGAGUGAUUAGCAAAACAAAGAUGCAUUAAACUCAACUUUGUUUUGUAUAGACCAGAAGUGCAAGAUUGCUCUCCAAUAGUUUUGCUUGUUAGAAGAGAAAUACUACGGAGACUUGCUAGCCAAGUAAGAAUUAGUCUCAGAAUUAAACUCAAAGAUCCUUGAUUAGAUCAUUUAAAUGUGUUAAUUUAAUACUUAUAUGAUAACCGAGUAAUUGAACAGUUUGUAACAAUGCACUAGGAAAGUAGUAUUUUGAAGGAGCGUUUUGAUCCAAAUUUUUUAUAGUGUUCUACAAAGAAACACUAAAUUUAUGCAGCCGCGGGGUGAGCAUAGAGCGAACUAUUCUUUCGCCUUUUACUAAAGAAACGCUAAAUUUGAUCCAACGGUCAUACGACUUCGGAUUUGGGUGAUCUUUUGUAAUGAUCAUUUUGAGGAAACACAAAAAUAGACGGUUAAAUCGUUGAAAUAUACAAACCUAUAUAUAUAUAUAUAUAUAUAUAUAUUAUAAACAAAUUGAUCCUUUAAAAGCUCAUUAUUAUGUUUUUCAUGCAAUUUUCUUACAAAAAUGUUGGGACAAGAUUAAAUUUUACUGAGUUAAGGUUUUUUAUAAUGGCGAUUUUGUUGAAUAUUUAAUCAUACUUAUAUUAGCAAACUAAAAGAUCUUAAGUUCGACUCAUAUGAAUGAGGAUAACUUAUUAUAUUUGUUUGAGUUCGAAACCAUACUCAUACAUGACCCAGCCCAAUUCCCGUUAAGAGUAGAAUAGUAGAAAUCAUAGUCAUACAUUACCCUAAUUCUGCAAACUAAUCCUUUAUGGAGAAAGCCACCAAUCUAUGUCUUCGACUGGCGACCCAUUUUUGUGUGUAAUUAAUGUCUCAUAUUACAAACUUAUCUCUGAACUACUCAUUAAUCUUUUAAUAUCUAUUUUAGGUAAACGUAUUUGACAAAACCAAGAUGUUUUUAUUCCCAUUCAAUUGAUUAAUUCAAUAUGGGAUAUCGGAGUGAUGCUAGAGAGACCAACUACUUCAAUCACACUCAUAGAUCACAUGAUGUGUUAGUUGAUGGUUGGACUUAUUAUUCAAAUCAUUAAAGAAAGAAUCCAACUAUCAACUGCUACAUCAUGCGGUCUACAAAAUAUGGUAUCCCUACUCCCUAGCAUAAAAUUGCAAGAAAACUUGAUAUGAAAAACAAUUUGGGUCAUAAUCGUUAUCAAUUUGCAUCAUCUUUCUCUAUGAUUAAAACUGUAGAUUUUUUGUUUCAAAGUGUUUUCUAUUUCAUGAGUAAUUCCGAAUGUACAAUGCAGUAUAUACAGGCAAGAGAAACAAAUGGUUAGAAGCAACCAUCUUUACAUGAAACCCUAGAGACCGGUUAAACCUAGGACACAAGCUUUUCCUUAAUUUAAGGUGAUUUACAUCAAAUCCUAGACUAAGAAGUAAUCAGCAAGUUAAGUGCCUUGAAUCAAGGAACUAGAAAAACUGGCGGUUGACUUGUGUAUCUAUGGUUACUUGUGGACUUGAUAUGAGAUGACAUGCUAGGGUUUAGUGUGACUGGUUCCAACACUCCCCCUCAAGCUGGAUCGUGAAGUGUAGUCGAGCCAAGCUUGCUCAGAAGCCUAUGUAACUGAGAAAAGGGUAGAGCCUUAGUAAAUAAGUCAGCCAAUUGAUCAUGACUUUGAGUGAAUUGAGUCUGAAUGACUUGUGUUUGAACUUGAGCUCAGAUGAAAUGGCAGUCCACCUCAAUGUGCUUGGUUCUUUCAUGAAAAACAGGAUUAGCUACAAUGUGCAUGGCAGCUUGGUUAUCACACAUGAGAGACAUAAGGGCUUGAUGUGAGAGCCCUAAAUCUGAAACCAAGCCUUUAAGCCAAAUCAGUAAGCAUGCAGUGGCUGCCAUUGCUUAAUACUUUGCUUCAGCACUCAAUCGUGCUAUAACAUGUUGCUUCUUACUCUUCCAUGUCACGAGGUUUCCCCUAAUGAAAGUACAAUAUGUAAUGGUAGAUUUUCUGUCAAUUGCAUUACCUGCCCAGUCUGCAUCGGUGUACGCACUAAUUUCUAUGGACUGAUUGUUUGACAUAAGAAUGCCUCUGUCCAAUGAACCUUUGAGAUAACGAAGAACACAUUUACCAAGGUAAAGAUGUUGCAUUGUGGGAGCAUGCAUAAACUGACUAACUAAGCUGACAACAUAGGUGAUGUCUGGAUGUGUGAUAGUGAGGUAGAUAAGCUUACCAACAAAUCUUUGGUAGUAGCUUAUGUUGGUGAGAGGUUCUCCAGUAGAAUCAAUCUUCAUUUUGCUGUCAAUAGGUGUGAUGGCAGGCUUGCAAUAGAGAUUAGCCUCAGUGAGUAAAUUAACAACAUUCUUUCUUUGACUGAGGAACAACCCUUUGUGAGAGGUGGUCAUUUCAAUGCCAAGAAAGUACUUUAAUCUCCCAAGAUCUUUGAUGGAAGAUGUGUGGUGUAAGGAGUGUUUCAAGGCUUUGAUUCACUCUCAUUGUCACCAGUGAUGAUUAGAUCGUCAACAUAGAUGAGAACCACAAGUUUUCCACUUGAACCACUUCAAAUAAAUAACAAGGAAUCAACAUUGCUUCUUAUGAACUCUGUUUUUUCUAAGACAAAACUUAGCUUGGCAUACCAUGCUCUCGGAGAUUGCUUGAGUCCAUAGAUUGCCUUAUGUAGUUUACAAACCAUUCUUUUUUCCACUUGAGUGUAACCUAGUGGGGGUUGCAUGUAGACUUCUUGAAGUUCUUCAUGGAGAAAGGCAUUCUUUAUGCCUUUCUAUUGAACCAUCUGCCUUGAGCUUAGUUUUGUAAAACCACCAGCUUCCAACAGCAUUCUUUCCUAGAGGCAACUUGACAAUGCUCCAGGUAUUGUUCUCUUCCAAUGCAUUCAGCUCUUCAGCCAUAGCUAAUUUCCAAUAUGGCAAGGAAACAGCUUCUAAGAAUGUUCUUGGUUCAGCAAUUUUGGAGACUUCAGUAAGAAAUGCACGGUGAGAAGUUGAAUACUUUAAGUAAUGUAGUACAUCAGAGAUAGGGUACCUUAAGGCAUAAGUGACAUAGUCCAAUAGCCUCGCUGGAGGUUUUCUUGUCCAAGCAAGAUUUCUUCGUGCACCUUGAGUUGGCUGUGAUGAUUGUUCAUUGUCAACUUGAUUUUUAGAGCCAUGCUCAACGUCCUCUUGUGAAAUGACCUAUGGAUUUGAGAGGUUUGUGACUUGGUGCACCUCCCCAUUGCCUUGAGUGCCUUGCUGGAACAUCAUCAUCUUGUUCUAUGUACAUAGGUAAUGGGACCAAGUCAUGUAGAGACCCCCCUCCACCAGAAGCAUGCUUGGUGGUUAGAAGAAAUGAGUGUCUUCAUAAAAAAAAAACAUCUCUUGAGACAAUGCAUUUUGUUGGUAGGGGAUUGAAGCAUUUGUACCUUUUUUGUGUAGAUGAGUACCCUACAAACACACAUUUUGCAGCCCUAGCCUCCAGUUUGUCACGAUGUUGAGGCUACACAUGAACAAAGCAUGAGCAACCAAACACUUUCAAGUGAGACAGGUUGAUAGACCUCUUUUCUAGAGUUUCACAAGGAGAUUUAAACCAUAGAACAUGACUGGGUAGUCGGUUGAUGAGGUAUGUAGCUGUCAAAAUUGCAUAGGACCAAAACUUCUUUGGAACAUUCAUGUGUAACAUCAAUGCACGAGUCUUUUCAAGUAGGUCUCGGUUCUUCCGUUCAGCAAUCCCAUUUUGCUGUGGGGUUCCCACAUAGCUAGUUUGAUGUACAAUUCAUUUUGAACUCAAGUAUUGAACCAUGGUGUUGGAUAAAAACUCAAUGCCAUUAUCUGAUCUUAGUGUUUUAAUAGUUGAAUGAAAUUGGUUGGACACGAGUGUAUGAAAGUCUUGAAGGAUAGUUGAAACUUCACUUUUAGAUUUCAUGAGAUAAAGAAAAGUGACACGAGUGCAAUCAUCUACAAAUAUGACAAUGUAUGUGUAACCUUCCAUUGAUUCAAUAGUAGGACCCCAUACAUCGGUGUGAACAAGUUCGAAAUGUAUGCUAGAUCCUUACAUUGAGGUUCCAAAAGGUAACCUAGCAAACUUUGAGAAAUGACAAGUAUCACACUUAAUCAAUAGGUGACAAAACUUGGGAAAUAGUUUUGACAAAACAACUUCGGAUGGAUGGGCUAGCCUUUGGUGACAAAGUUGUUGAUUCUUGGAAAAGCUUGGUUGAACUUGAAGGGCUUUUGACAAAAGGGGUUUCGUGCAAAAAUAAUAGAGACCAUUUUGAUAGAAUCUUUCACCAAUCGUCCUCUUGGUGAGCAUCCUGAAAAAUUACAUUUGUGGGUGAGAAUAUGGCUAGGUAAUUUAGAGUGUUAGUGAGUUGUCCUACGUACAUCAACUGAAAUGGAAAAGAGGGUACGUAUAAGGAAGUAGACUCUAUGGUGUUUGAGACUAAACCUAGUUUUCCUCUUCCCAUGACCAAGACAUUUUUUCUAUUUGCAAUUGACACAUGAGAUGGUUUUGACAAGACUUGAAAAUCAUGUAAGUUUGAGGCUUUAUUUGUUAUGUUAUCAGAAGCACCUGAGUUAAUUGUCCAACAAUCAUGAUUAAAACUAGUUUAUAGUGUAGUUGAGAAUGCUUUGAAGAUACUUGGGACUGCAUCUUGUGAAACAUGAUCAUGAUCAGCUAGAAAUCCUGCAAACUGUCCAAGAAGUGUAGUUUGUUUGUUCCCUUCACCCUUGAUGUUUGUGCAGCUUCUCCAUGAUUCUUGGUUUGCAAGUAAGUUGCAAACUCGUUGAUAAGAGUAACAGGAUUGGUUGUGAAAUCCAUCAAGCCAUGAGUGAGUGAGUUGGUAGCAUGGUUGGCAACAUGCUAAGCCUUGAGAGGAGCCACUGAUGAGGAUCUUGGAACCAUCAUCCUAUUGUCUUUUAAUUUGGGCUUGAGUUCAGGGUGCAGCUCCCAACACCUCUCUUAUGUGUGACCAUAUGCAUUGCAAUACUUACACUUUAGAUGUGGAGUCUUUCCUCGGUACAUUUUGGCAUCAUGGUUUCUGUGGUUUGCAACAUACCCUUGAGCCUCAUAUAGCUUGAGAUUAGGCUCCACAUUCAUCACCCUUAUUCUUGCUUCUUCACGUUGCACUGUGACACAAACAGUCUUGAAUGAUGGUAGCUCCACGCUCAUUAAUAUGUGACUCCAGAGAUCCUCAUAUUCUGAGCUGAGGCUUGCGAGCAGUUGAUAGAUCUUAUUCUCCUCAACUCUUUUAAGAAGAAUAGUGGGAUCCGUGGUGUGAGGGAGGCCCUAAAUGUUGAACAAAAGACUUAUUUUCUUCCUGGAGGCAAGCAAUAUCUCUUUUCAAUUGGAAUACCCUGGCGUAGUUAUUCUAGUUCCCAUACAUAUCCUUCACAGAUUUCCACAAAUCUUGCAAGGAUUCACAGUAACUGAAUAUCUCAACAACAUGUUUCUCCAAAGUGUUGAGUAACAAGGACAUGACAAGUUGAUCCUUGCACAGCCAUGCUCCAUAGGUCUGAAAAGAAGAAUCUGGAAUUUCAACACUUCCAUUGAUGAACCCUAACUUUCCCCUUCCUCCUAGAGCGAGUGAAACUACCCUAGACCAAGGAAGGUAGUUGAGCUCAUUCAGCAGCACCGAGCAUAGGCGCUGGUUGGUAUUGACUUCAGCAUUCAAAAAAUUCGAGGGAGCAACCUGAGAGUUUUCUCCCUCAAGAUUGACUAUGCUUUCCUCAGCCAUUACAAAAGUUUAAACGAACACCAGUGGAAACAACACGGGCAGAGACAAGUCAAGGAUGACACUGCUCUGAUACCAUGUAGAUUUUUGGUUUCAAAGUGUUUUCUAUUUCAUGAGUAAUUCUGAAUGUACAAUGCAGUAUAUAUAGGCGAGAGAAACAAAUGGUUACAAGCAACCAUCUUUACAUGAAACCCUAGAGACCAGUUAAACCUAGGACACAAGUUUUUCCUUAAUUUAAGGUGAUUUACAUCAAAUCCAAGAAUAAGAAGUAAUCAGCAAGUUAAGUGCCUUGAAUCAAGGAGCUGGAAAACUAGCGAUUGACUUGUGUAUCCAUGAUUACUUGUAGACUUGAUAUGAGAUGACAUGCUAGGGUUGCUUUUGCUAGGGUUUAGUGUGACUGGUUCCAACAAAAACAGUUGGGCUUUAAUGACACGGAUUAAAUCUUAUUGGGUUUGAGAGUCAUGUUUUCCUAGACUUCAAUGACUAAGAAAAUGAUUAUCACUCACUGUUAAAUGUUUAAUCCAACAGUACAGAAAAAAGUAUAGUAAAAAAGUUAAAUGAGCACCAACCAUUAGAUUAAGAUCGAACGGUGGGUGACCACCAUUUUCUUGGUAAUUGGAUUAUAGGAGAACAAUUCUGUUGGGUUUUAUAGGGUUUCUUCUGUUUGAGUGGUUAAUUGGCUAUUCAAUCUUAUUGACCUCAAACCUAUGUGGCUAAAAGAAAUAGAGGAUUCAAAGCCAAGUCUAUGUUUGUCUCCUUUAAGAAAAUUUAGAGUAAUACUGUUGAUGUAAUCAAAUUUACUCCCUUAUUUGUGUAGUUUAUACUUUAACAUUAGUUUAUACGACUUCAUGCAUAAAAUUUGUUUAUAUAACAUUUUUUUAUAUAGCAUUUUUCCAUUCGUUGUCUUAAUCCACUUUGCUUUUCUAGGCACUUGAAGAUGAUCUACCCUCGCCCAUUACACCCAGAAACUCCCCACCCCUCCUUCUAAAUCUAUAUUUAUGUUAUUAAAAUAAAAAACCAAACAAAAGACAGCAAGGGGGAAUAUGAUAAUAGACAUACCUUUGCCACCAAUGGUACACCGGCACACUUUUCAGCUAUCGCCCUUCCAAUGCCCUCUUGAUCUGAAUCUAGAGAACGAGCAUUACCAUUUCGUAAUGCUUCACCCCUUAAUAUGGACCAACAAUCCUCGUUUGAUAGGAGCCCCAAAUCACACUUCGGCAUUGUCCCCGUGAUUAAUGCAACCUUUUCACUGCGGGUAGUAACAAUGGUAAUGCUUCCGGGAGCAGAAUUGAGCAUCGACAAACAAUCCGUAAAACUGCUCCAUAAAUCCUCAGCUUCAUUCCAAACAUCAUCGAGUAUCAGCAUAUAUCUCUUCCCUUUCAACCUUUCUUUGAGGUUAUUCAGCGAUGCUUCCCGACUUGUACAUCCUGCCAAUUUAAGGGACUCUAACAUCCGAUUUAGAAUCGAAUUAACGUAAAAAGGGUUGGAUACACACACCCACAUUUUUUCCUGGAAAUGUCCACCAAUAGCAUCAUCAUUGAAUAUUGAUUUUGCCAAAGUCGUCUUUCCAAGUCCUCCCAAUCCCACAACGGCCAUAACCGAAAGGUUAUUUUCCUGAUUCUUGGACUCGAUCAAGGUUGCAAUGAUAUCCGACACUGUCUUCUCCCUUCCAAUGAUCUUCUCAUCCUGACGGAAGCUUGAGACGGUUUCUCUGUUCCCCAUAGCUGGAAGGGUUUGAUCUUCUCUCCUUGCAACUAAGCCAAUGAAAGAUGCCUCACUCUUGAGAACCGCCAGGGACGCAUUGAUGUUCUUAAUCUUGUGUGCCAUCUUUUGACGAAAUAAAAUGGGAUUGGAGAGCGAAAAGAAGUUAAGUACCUUCUUCUUCAUGUGGUUUUGCAGUUCUGCUUUACGCCGGAGAACUUCAUAGUUGAUGUCCUCCAAGACAUCAUCAGCAUCAUGAGCUACGUCUUUCAGUUUUUUCACCCAGUCCUCCAACGCCUUGCGCUUGUGAGGUGGUUGGUGGGCAACAUCGCCUAAGUAAUCUUGAAUCGCAAGUGACGAUUGUUGAAGCUCAGUUAGCUCUUUAUUGAAUCCUCGGAAAAGACUGAUUUCUUGAGCAGCAAGUGAAGCGACCGACUUCAGUAUUCCCUCCACCGGAAAAGUGAUGAGACCUUCUAGCACCUUUACAGGAUCCAUACCCGCCCGAUAAGGGGAGAUUAGAGAGUAGGAAGCAGAGAACUGAGAGAAAGCCAAGGAAGGACACAAGAAGAGCGAAUUAGAUGAAUGAAAGGCUUAACAAUAAUUCAAGAAAAUGUGGUAUAAGAAGAAAGGACCCUUUAUAAUUGACGCCACUUUACGCCUGUGAGCGUCAACAUAAUGUUCAAGAGUGGAGGCCAACUUUAAUAAAGUAACGAGGAUUGAAUAGGAAAGAUAAAAAGAAGACAAAAAUAUAAACCCAUCUUAUUAGCAAAUGUGUUCCAAAAAUUAAUUACCUAGCAUUAUUCUAUCUAUAUUAUCAAGAGAACUUUCAUUGUCAACCUUUCUCGAAAAUAAGAAUUAUAUCAUUGUUUUUCUUAUUUUACCCUUAACCUUUUCUUAAAAUGACAAUCAUAUCCUCAGUUUUUUUAAUUUUACCCUCAUUUUUGAUACACAAUAUUUACAUAAAGAAGACAAAAUUGUAAUUAUAUAAUAUUAAGAAAAAUAUGCCCUUAUGAAGAGAAACUGUCUCAUCAUCAUUGUCUCAUACUUUUUAAAAAAAAUUUAAAAACUAAUCACUCCUUAAUCAAAAACAAAAAAGAAAAUGAAAUUAUUCACACACUAAGUGUGCUCAUCUGCCAGUUCAUAUAAAAGAUAACAGAUAGAAGAUGACAACUUUCACUUGGGCUUUCUAGUAAAUUAAUGAAAAUACACUAAAACCUAAAGAUGCUAAUUCAACAUGAUAAAUGACAGAAUUCGGCCUAAAAUGCUCAUGCAUCACAACAAAGUGGUGAAUUAAAUUUGUGAUUUUUCUGAAAAGCCGGUUCAAUGCAUAAAUAUUAUCAUGAAUUAACGAUAACGAUCAGAAUUCUCCUUGAGAGCAACAGGGGCAAGUUCUUGAGCCACGGCUUUACCUACUGAAACCUUUCUCCUAACAAAUGAGACGCCGGAUAACUUGCUGCGCAUCCAAGGCCAUCUUGAGCCCUUCAACCCCACCAACAUAACAUCCGACUCUAUUCCAAUCAAACAUGGGCCCCGCACGUCCCCACACGGCACAUUCCCUGACCCCCUUCGUCCUCAAUUUCCCUCCAAGAAUGUUACAUGGACAUCAACAUUCAAGUAUGAUGCAUAAACUGUAGUUUCAUCAUCCUUCCAACACGCAAUAUUUUAGUAUGCGUUGGUUGCAUCGAAUAUUUCAGACUGGAUUAGUUUUAGAGGCUAAGUUAAAUUAUGUUAAUAUAAACUAAACUUAAUUCAUAUGAUAAUACGUUUAAUGCAAUGUCAGAUUAAGACACAAAAUAAUUAAGAAAAAGGCAAAUGAAAAUCCAAUUACUUUGCUUUUAAAUCAGCAUAAACUUUUUUCUCAAAUAAUUCAAGAAAAUGUGGAUAAGAAGAUGAGAGAUACAUAUCAAGAUGGUAGGACCCCUUAUAAUUGAUGCCACUUUACAAUUGUGAACUUAAUUUGGUGAGACUGAGCACUUUUCUAAUAGUAUGGAGACAUAAAAUGGCAAAAAAUUGUAAAGCAAAGCAAGACCACAUAAAUGUAAAUCCAUCGUAUCAGCAAAGAUUUUUUCUGGACAAUUUUAGACAAUAGUGGAGAUUCAACUUUAUUAUAUGAAGAUAAUUCUAGUGUUCGGUCUUUUGAUCAAUCUGGCGAUGUGUUGCACACUCACACUAAUAUGAGCAUCAUUAUAUUGUGUUUUAUCAACCUUAAAAUUAACCCCACCCCACACGAUGGAGUGAGUCUAGUGCCGAAAAAUCAUUGUAUCAACCUCUCUAGACAACUUUAGAUGAUAAUAGAGAUCCGACUUCAAUAAAAUUAAGGAAAGAACAAAAAAUAAUAAUGCAACAGAGGAAAAAAAAAAGGGAGCACGUAAGUACAAAGAUUAUAUAAAAGAGAGAAAUGCUAAGUAACUCUCUUAAGUUGAGAUUCUAUGUGGACUUUUCGUUACUUUAUGUUUGUAAAAAAUUAUUUUAUAAUAUUGACAAGAAAAAAAAUUACAAAAAAUUUAUAGAGAAUCACACUUUUGAAAAAAUCUCCGAGAUUCUUGGCUUUUAUUACAGCUAUCCAACUAUCAAUAGCAUGCAUUGUUUUAGGAUGGAAUUUGGAAGCAUUUGAGACGGUCAUCCACGCACCAGAGAGAUGAAAGUCGUCAUGUAACUCUACCAACACGUAAUAGGGGUGGAAAAGCAAGGAGACAAAAUUGGUAUUGUAACCCUACCGACGCGUAAUAGAACGGUGGAAAAGCAGGUGCUGCUUUUUCAAGAAAACCAAGGGAAUGACGUUUCCACUUCCCAAUGGAAAACCACGAUGCCACUAUUUAAUCACUGGAUGGUUAAGAUUGAAAUUUCGCAAAAGAUUCAUGCAUAUACGAUAUUUAGUUAAUAAUUUAAUCAUUUGUAAUUACAUUAUUGAAUUUGUGAAUUUGAUUUAAAAUUUUUAAUUUCUCUAAUAUUACCAAUAUUGAAACACCUAACCCAACUCAAGCUCCUUCAAUCAACAAAAGAAAAAGUCAUCCACCUCCAUCAAAAUUGAGAUAAAAUGGACCAGAAUGCUCUCAUGAUCCUUCUCUCCAAAUCUGAUUGGGUCAUUUUCUUGAGUCGAGUAAUAGCAUUAAUAAGUUACAUAUUCUAUUAAUCGCCGAUAAAAUUCAAACUUACACCAUUAUACAAGGAUACAAAACAUUUCCAUCACUAUAAUAAAAGACCACUUGCGACCGGGUCAUUUAAUUUAAAUCGCCCAUCCCAGCGUGUGGCAACUUCUUUCUUUUCAUACUUUCUCUGCGUGAAGACGUCUACACGCGAAAGAUCUUCAUCGUCCACCUUAUUUCACGCGGUGAUUCAUUUAUUGACUUAAACUUGUUUCGAUUAGUCAACAAAUAUAGGUCUUCCAUGAAUUUUUGUCAGGACUCAGUGCUAGUGACUAUUCAAACCCUACCUAAUUCUCACAUCUUCACCAUGAUUAGUCAACAAAUAUUGGUUUUAACUUUUUACUAUACUAUAAUGUUUAGUCUCUAAAUUAUCUAAUAUUCUGUUAUCGGCCCCACGCGUUGUCCCCACAUGGCACAUCCCAUUUCUUCCUCAAUUUCCUCCAAUAAUGUUUACAUGGACGUCAAUAUUAAUUCAAGUAUAAUGGACAAGGUGUAGUUUCAUCGUCCUUCCAAUAUGCUAUAUUUGAGUAUGCGUUUGUUGCAAUGAAUUAUUUCAUAUUGAAAUAUAAAUACAAAUAUUAAACUGAAUUGACUUAAAAUACACUAAAUUUGACUAAUUUAAUGAAACGUUUGAUCUAAUUUCAAACUAAAUAGCAAAGUAAUUAAUAAAAUGGUAAGUUCAUCCCAACAAAAUUUACCACAUCACUAGUUUCAUCCCAACAAAAUUUGCAUAGUUCGAAUUAUUUAGGUUGAAAUGUUCACAAGAAAUAUUUUACGACAAUGUAAGAUUAAAUUAAUUCAAAGAAAGUUAACACAAACACAAAACUUUGUAACCAAUCAAAUUAUCAUAUAAAAUCGUAAAAACCAUAAAUUUAUGAAUUCUACCAUAGGAACUCACUCAUUGAAGGUAAUAUUGCUUUAGGGACACAAAGAUUCUUUUUAAAUCCUUAAAUGAGUCCUUAAAAGUGAUGGUUCAAGUCCCUAAAUCUCUAACACCUUGAGAGAUGAAAUAAAUUCAAAUCCGUAAAUCUCUAAACCUUUGGAACAUAAUAUUGGGGACCUUGCCAUAAAAAAUAAAGGGUGACUCUGAAUGCAGUCAUUAAUCACUAAUAUUGUUUGAUUGAAAUCUUAUUAGUUCUAAGUUUUUUUUAUCAAAGUCUUUGACUUUGUACGUCUCUUCAUAUUGAUAUUAAUGUAGUUUCAUAUCAACUAAUUAUUUUUGAAGUUCCUUAAUUCUUGGACUUCAAAUUUUGUAAUAAAUUAAUUCCUGAAAAAGCAUAAGACACAUAAUAAAUAGUAAAAUUUGUAACGAAUAGAACAUUUAUCUACCAAUAAUCAAGCAUUACAUUCUAAACACAUAAAAAACAAUGUACACAUAUAAUUGGAUUUUAAAAAAAAAGAAUUUAUCAUUAUAAUUGAGAAAUUUAGAAAAAUAAUCAAAAUUUGAACCUCAUAGAAAAUUAUAGCCGUUUUUUAAGUUAAUGAUAAUUAUAACCAAAGUUGAUGUAAAAGUAUUAACAUAUAUACUCAUGAGGUUCUCUCCGCCACCUCCAAUUCUUCAAACUUUUAGACCGUCUCCGAGGAGUUAAGCUCUCCAGUCCAACAUAAUAUCUAGGUUUUUCGUUUCAGUAGGUAAUCGUUAUAACCAUGGUGGGCAUGGCCACGAAAGGUACUAUUUUUCUUACGAUUCCUAACAUAUUCCUUCAAUUUUUGUUCUUUAAUUUUUCUGAUUUUUGUUGCAUUUGAUUUUCUAAACAUAUUAGAUUAGAUUUCGACCUCUUUCAUCAACACUGCGAAACCGAUGUUCCGAUUGGCCGGGCAAAGUCAUGGUACACCAUCCCAUUUCAGAUUGUAAAAGGUUGACUUUUGGUUUCUGGCUUUUAACUUUGAGCUUUUGGUUUUUGUUUUUUAAUAUUUUCACGUAGAAAUAGCAUUAUUAAUAUGGGAGCACAACAAUAUAUAUGAACCUACAGAGAAAUUAAAGAAAAACAGAGAUGUUGGUCUGCCAUAUGUAAAUUGACAUAUUUGGCUUCUAGCAUUGGGAAGAAAGAAAUUGUGUAUAUUUGAAUUAUAAAUUGCAUUUUCCAUCCAAAUUAAGUAUUUAAAAUUAUUGCCGACAAGAGGAGUUUUGUGAUUAGUCGCCUGCAGGUACGCGUAGACUCAUAUUUACUAUUCACAAAAUGUCAUUAUCGUUCCCGCGUGCAUACGUACGAUCCACCCGUCCAUUCUUGAUUUGUAAAUAUUAUAAACAUAAGUAGCUACUAUGAACGCAUAUGCCAUGACAAUUCUUUUUUUUUUUUUAUAAUUUAUUUUAUUUUUGCUUCUUUGAUUGUGAUAUCCCAGCAAAUUGAGGUUACCCCGUCAAACAAAAUCACUAAUAAAUUCGAUUUAGUAGUUGGCAGUCGGCUAUGGUGGGUGCGCCCAUGGUUUCAAGUCUAAUUUGCAUUUUUUAUUAAUAGUUGGCACGGUCACAUGGUGGUAACCACUUAUUUGUCUUUUGAUUGAUGCAGAUCCGGAUUAAAAAACAAAUGGUCUUUCUAAUUAGGAUAUUUUAUUACUAAUUGUGUUGAUCAAUGAUUGUUUGGCUAUUUGUAACUUGUAAGGUUCAUGAGUGUUGAAAGAGAAAACCGAACACAAGAUUUCAGUUGUAAGUACUAAAUGUAUGCUCUUAACCACUAGAGUUAUAAGUUUUUUGUGUGCUCAAUGUUCGACUCUCGUUCUUUCUAAACAUGAAUUGUGUGGACCAUUGGAUCUGAUGGAGAAUUGGACACCUUAGCAUCAUUGAAGUGAAACAUGCUAUUUGCUCCUCAAGAGGCUAUUUUUCAUGCAGACCUUACGUGCAGAUCAGAUAUAGUACUUUGGAUCUAAUUUGAACUACCGAAAUCAAAACAAGUUUAGGGUGAAACCAGCUCACAAUAAAACAAAGCUCAUUGGUGGAACAGGGUCUGAAAAACCCGUAUAAUUCAUCGGCACAACUCGAAUAUCUCAUCCUUUUUCGUUUUUUUUUUCUUUUCCCGCAAUGGAUUUGGAAUUCCCCAUGGCUGAUGUCACCACACGAGUCUCAUUAUCACCGGAAAAAACCAUGGACAUACUAAAAUCUGCUAUUUUCGUGUCCAAGUUUUCGUUGCACUGGGAUUACUCUCCACUCUUAAUCCAAUUCUCUUACUGGAUUCCCUUCUUAAGUGAGCUGAAAUACUAAUCAAAUUUAUCUGUGAUUAACAUAUUCUAGAAAACUCGGCAUGAUUUUAUUCAAGGAUGAAAGAUUGAAGAAAAAGAGUUACAUAUUGACUAAACAGAUUACCUUCCACAAAAUUGGUCUCAUAAAACUGUGUUAGUUGGGAGAACCUGCACAGAGUGAGAAGAAACACAACCUUCUACAAAAGCGUAUCUGCAGAGUGAGAAGAAACCUUCUACAAAAGUUGCAUCUUUCUUUAUUCAGAUUCGUACCAGUCCCGAUAACACUUAACACAUGAGAAAACGAGAGUGAGUGAACAAUAUUGAAUCAAAUAUUCAUGAAUAAUUGAUUGGAGAUAAAAAUAAAAAAUACCUCUGAUAUCUGGAAUAUGAUAAAUCUUCGGCCAUCUUGGGCCACUGUUCUUGGCGCAUUCUUUCUGCCAGACGUUGGUGAUUGGUAUUUAGUCUUUGGUUACUAUUAUCUUUAGCAAAUGGAGUAGACUUGUCCUUGAAAGUUGAUGACCAAAUUGACAACUACCUCCUCUUCAUUUGGCUACAAUUAAAUCCUAACUAGCUAGUAGCUACCCAGCAAAUGGUGUUGUCAUGGGACCUGCAUUGGUGGAAUAUGAACAUCUGGAAUUCAAUCCAGCUGAAUUAUGGUAUGGUGAAAUCGUAACACAAGUUUCUUCAUUUCAGCCGGGAGUUCCUUCUCGAUGCCUAGACACCUCCAUUUCCACAAUUCACAAAACUCAUGGUGGCUCUAUGUUGGGAGGCAUGCCGUGCUGUCUCUGAUGCUUCCAGACCGAAUUCACAUUGAACUCUCCUCGAAGCCUUUGAUCCAAAAUAGUAUUUCAAUCCCUGUUCUGGAACUCAAGAUUCACCCACUCCACUAUGUGGACAAGAUCAUCAUUUUCUAUGAUUGCAGGUUGGCCAGUAAAAAUCUAAACAUCAAUUUUUUUUUCUUUCAACCUUGCUAAUUAUAGUAUCUGCAGACCAAAUAAAGUAAUCAUAGAUCACUCACUGCUCAUAGAUUUGUUUUUUUUUUUUAACAUGAUCAAAAUUCUAAGAACAGUAGAACACAGAAAUCUGAACAAGCUCGGUAUCCCAUGACCGAUGCCACCAGAGUCUCAGUGUCACUGGGAAAAACCAUGGACAUACCAAACUCUGCUAUUUUGCAUCCAAGUUUUAAUUCAAGAGAAUGUUGGCAGUCUUUACAUCUCUAUGCACAAUACUGGAUUGUGCAUAUAUAUUAGCAUACAAAAUAACACUAAGCACCUAUCUAACGCAAUAUCUAAUGCUAUCCGAAGUCUCAUUUCCCAAGUUUAUGUGAGCUUUGUUGAAUUAUAAGUCUCUAGCUGAUUGAGUAUUAGAAAUAAGAUGAGUUUUAAUGUGUGUAUUCACUUGAGCAUAUCUGCCAAGUGUAAGGUUAAAUGAUGUAAGGCCAUGAGUGCUAUGUGGUGUUUGAUCCAUGUAAUUAGGUUGAUGAGUGACUAAGUUUAAAAGUAGUGUUUUGUGUGGUCCUAAAGCUAAGGCCAUCAGUUAAAUGUAAAGCAGUGUUAGUGCGCAUUUUUCUGUGCAGUACAAAUAUUCCUCUGCAAUACUUUUGCAGCAGAGAGAACAAGAAAGAAAAACUUUUCGGUUCAACUUCUAUCUUUGCUUUGCUUCUGUUCAGCAUUCUGAAAAUAAACCCAGCAAAAUCAAGUUACACUAACAUGGCCUCAGAGCCUUGUUUCGAUUAGAUCUGGGCGUGUUUCUGUGAGCUCAAACAUCACCGUUUCUGGACUCGGUGAAGUUUGCCGGAGUUUGUUUGUGAGCUAAGAACUACGUGUUUCUGGAUUCACACAAGCUCACGAUGGCUGGAUCUGGGAGUGCUGAAGUGAGGACCCCGAUCUUCUCCGGUGAGAACUACGAGUUCUGGAGAAUCAAAAUGGUUACCAUUUUCAAGUCAUAUGGACUGUGGAAUCUGGUGGAAAAAGGGAUUUCGGUUUCUGAUUCGAAGAAGAAGAAAGCUAAGACUGAUGAAGAUACAGAUGUUGAUGCUGACGAUGAUGAGAAAAUGGCUGCAACCUUCAUGAAAGAUGCAAAAGCACUCGGAAUCAUUCAAAACGCAGUCUCUGAUCAGAUUUUCCCUCGAAUCGCAAACGCAGACUCAGCAAAAAUGGCAUGGGAUCUGUUAUAUGGCGAAUAUCACGGUGGGGAUCAGGUAAGAUUUGUGAAACUCCAGAAUCUUAAACGAGAAUUUGAAUACACUAGAAUGCGUGAUGAUGAAUCUUUGACUGGGUAUCUUACUCGUUUAAAUGAUCUGAUUAAUCAAAUGAAGACGUUUGGUGAAAUUCUGUCAAAUGAGAGAUUAGUUCAGAAGGUGUUAAUCAGUCUCACUAAGAUAUAUGAUCCUAUAUGCUUAGUGAUAGAAAACACCAAAUGUUUAGAAUCUGUUGAAUUGCAAGAGGUACUAGCUAUAUUGAAGAGUCAAGAGCAGAGGUUUGAUUUGCAUUCCUCUGAUGCAACUGAGAGAGCAUUUUCUUCUCUUACUGUUAGUUCAAAAGGGCAGAAUCGAAGUUAUGCUCAGUCUAGUACUUUUAAACCACAGAAAAAUUGGAAUCAAAAGGGUAAGAAAUGGGAUUUAAAACCAAAGUUUCAGCAAAAAUCAUACACAAAUGUUGCACAGAAUAGUAUUUCCUCACAGAUUAUGGGUCAAGAGAGUGUAAAACCUCAAUGUAAGGUGUGUUCAAAGUUUCAUUAUGGUGAAUGUAGAUAUAAGGGGAAAUCCAAGUGCCAUAACUGUGAUAGAUUUGGUCAUUGGGCCAGAGAGAGUGUACUGUUGGAAAGUCUGUUCAAAAGGCAAACUGUGCAAGUCAAAUGGAAGUGACAGGAAACUUAUUUUAUGCAAACUGUGCAGUUGCUGAGACUAAGGUUAAUGGAGAUUGGUACAUAGAUAGUGGCUGCAGUAAUCAUAUGACAGGAAAUGUUGAUCUUCUUGUUGAUGUGAAUACAAAUGUUGCAGGGAAAGUUCAAAUGCCAACAGGAGGGUUAGUUAAUGUGGCAGGAAUGGGAUCACUGGAAAUUGAGACUAACAGAGGAAGAAAAUACAUUCGAGAAGUCAUGUACUUACCUGGUUUGAAGGAGAAUCUAUUAAGUGUAGGACAAAUGGAUGAGCACGGAUACUAUCUUGUGUUUGGUGGACAUAUGUGUACUGUUUUUGAUGGUCCUUCUCUGAAAUGUCAAAUUAUCCGUGUAAAAAUGAAAGAAAACAGGUGCUAUCCUCUAUCUCUACGGCCUGAGAAACAACUUGUGUUGAAGACCAGUUUUGCUCAUUGUUCUCUGACUUGGCACAGAAGAUUAGGUCACCUACACUUUGGUGGAAUUAAGAAAUUGAAGGAUAAUGACAUGGUACAUGGAUUACCAUAUCUAGAUGAGUAUGACAAAGUGUGUGAAGGCUGUCAAUAUGGUAAGCAACACAGAGAAAGGUUUCCUAGUGGUCAAGCACAAAGAGCUGGUGCUCCACUUGAAUUGGUUCAUGUAGAUCUGUGUGGACCGAUGAGAAUCGAGUCUACUGGAGGAAACAAGUACUUUAUGUUGCUUGUAGAUGAUGCAACCAUGAUGAUAUGGGUGUAUUUUCUUAGAUUCAAAUAUGAAGCUUUUACUUGUUUUCAGAAAUUCAAGGCCAUGACUGAGUUGCAAAGUGGAAUGAAGGUAAAAUGUGUAAGGAGUGAUAGAGGAGGGGAGUUCUUAUCAAAUGAAUUCAAGCAAUACUGUGACACAGAGGGAAUCCAAAGGCAACUGUCUCUCUCUUACACUCCACAGCAAAAUGGAGUGGUUGAAAGAAAAAACAGAACUGUGAUUGAAAUGGCCAAGUCUAUGCUUCAUGACAAAGGAAUGCCUUACUAUAUGUGGGCAGAAGCUGUGCAUACUGCUGUCUAUCUGUUAAACAGAUGCCCUACCAAAUCACUGGAUAGUAUAACACCUUUUGAAGCUUACAGCAAAAGGAAACCAGGUAUUGCUCAUUUGAAGGUUUUUGGCUCAGUUUGUUAUGUUCAUACUCCAUCCGAGCUAAGACACAAGCUAGAACCCAAGAGUAUAAAAGGAGUCUUUGUUGGAUAUGCAAAAUGUGAGAAAGGCUAUAGAGUAUUUGAUCCAAUCUCUAAGAGACUGAUUCUGUCAAGAGAUGUUGUGUUCGAUGAAAACUCAGCUUGGGAUUGGGAAAGAAGCACUGAAAGAUAUAUGUCACUGCCUACUUAUGAGUUUGACUCUGUUGAUACACAAAGAAGUGAAAAUGCAGAAAAUGACCCUCAAGUUUCAAGUGAUUUAUCAUCUGGAAUAUUGGAAGAAGCUGCAAGUGGUAUUGAUGAUACACAGAUCAACUCUCAGUCAAGUGCAGGUGUGAAUGACACUCAGUUUUUUGAUCAUACUCCAUUAAAAUGGAGAAAGCUGGAUGAUGUUCUUGCUCAGUGUAAUCUUUGUAUUAUAGAACCAGAGAAAUAUGAAGAUGCAGCUAAGGAUGAAUCUUGGAUGAAUGCUAUGAAGGAUGAGCUCUCCAUGAUUGAAAAGAAUGCAACCUGGGAGUUAGUGGACAGGCCAAGUAACAAGCCUAUAAUUGGAGUAAAAUGGGUGUGUUUAAAACCAAACUCAACCUGGAUGGAACUGUGCAAAAGAACAAGGCAAGGCUUGUUGCAAAGGGAUAUGCACAGAAACCAGGAAUAGACUACAAUGAGACCUUUGCUCCUGUUGCUCGAUUAGAUACAAUCAGAACCCUUAUAGCAUUGGCUGCACAAAAGAGUUGGAAACUCUAUCAACUUGAUGUUAAAUCGGCUUUUUUAAAUGGUGUUCUAGAGGAGGAGGUUUAUGUGGAGCAACCUGAUGGUUUUGUAGCUAAAGGGGAGGAAGACAGGGUAUAUAAACUUCACAAAGCCUUGUAUGGUCUAAAACAGGCACCACGGGCCUGGUAUGGAGAGAUAGAUACAUAUUUCUCACAAUGUGGUUUCACAAGAAGUUUAAGUGAACCAACACUGUACAUCAAGACAGAAGAGGAAGGCAUUUUGAUUGUGUCGAUCUAUGUGGAUGACAUAAUCUAUACUGGGAGCAACAAACAAAUGCUUGAAGAAUUCAAGGAAGACAUGAAACGAAAGUAUGAGAUGACUGAUUUGGGCCUUCUCCAUCAUUUUCUUGGAAUGGGAAUAAUUCAAACCACUUCAAGCAUUUUCAUCCACCAAAAAGAAAUAUGCAAACUCUCUGUUAGACAAAUUUGGUCUAAAAGAGUGCAAACCUGUGCUUACUCCAUUGGUUGCAACUGAGAAGUUAACCACGGAUGAUGGAAGUGGUGCUGCAAGUGAAGAAUUAUAGAAGUUUGGUGGGAAGUCUCUUAUAUCUCAUUGCAACCAGGCCUGAUAUUAUGUAUGCAUCCAGUCUGUUAGCCAGAUUUAUGCACUGCCCUACCAGUAAGCAUGUUGGAACUGCUAAAAGAGUGCUAAGAUACAUUAAGGGUACACUUGAUUAUGGUCUGGAAUAUGUGAAGGGUAAGGACUCAAUGUUAAUUGGGUUCUGUGACAGUGACUGGAGUGGAUCAAUUGAGGACAGUAAAAGUACUUCUGGUUAUGCUUUCUCCUUUGGCAGUGGAGUAUUCUCUUGGGCAUCUGUGAAGCAAAAUUGCGUUGCUCUUUCCACUGCAGAAGCAGAGUACAUCAGUGCUUCAGAAGCAACUACUCAAGCCAUUUGGUUGAGAUUUGUUCUUGAAGACUUUGGUGAAUUUCAAACCGAAGCCACUCCAGUGCACUGUGACAACACCUCAGCAAUUGCAAUCACCAAGAACUCUGUGUUUCAUCAAAAGACCAAACACAUUAACAGAAGAUACCAUUUCAUCAAGGAUGCACUGAAGGAUGGCAUCAUUGAUCUGGUGUACUGUCCAACUAAUGAGCAACUUGCUGAUAUCUUCACAAAACCUUUGCCUAAAGAUCGGUUUAAUUAUCUCAGGAGCAUGCUAGGAGUGAAAUCAGCUCAAGACUUAAAGGGGAGUGUUGAAUUAUAAGUCUCUAGCUGAUUGAGUAUUAGAAAUAAGAUGAGUUUUAAUGUGUGUAUUCACUUGAGCAUAUCUGCCAAGUGUAAGGUUAAAUGAUGUAAGGCCAUGAGUGCCAUGUGGUGUUUGAUCCAUGUAAUUAGGUUGAUGAGUGACUAAGAUUAAAAGUAGUGUUUUGUGUGGUCCUAAAGCUAAGGCCAUCAGUUAAAUGUAAAGCAGUGUUAGUGCGCAUUUUUCUGUGCAGUACAAAUAUUCCUCUGCAAUACUUUUGCAGCAGAGAGAACAAGAAAGAAAAACUUUUCGGUUCAACUUCUAUCUUUGCUUUGCUUCUGUUCAGCAUUCUGAAAAUAAACCCAGCAAAAUCAAGUUACACUAACAAGCUUCUAUCUGCAUCCGCAACCAUUGACAUGACACUUAAAUAUUUUGAAACCCUCUGUUGGAGGACAAUGCUAUGUAAAAUAUAGAAUUACAUACCUGAUCGGAGAUAUUCUUUUAGGUUUUCGUUAAGCAUGUACUUGUAUAUAAGUGCCAACUUGUCGAUAUCAUCACAGUAUCCAAUAAAUGAGGCCAAGUUUCUAUGAUGGAUUCUCUUCAGGAGCUCAACCUGCAGCCACAAGGAACUCAUCAAUCUCUAACCAACGAGACGAGGCAUUUAACUUGCAUUCCAAGGAAUUAAAUUCAAACUGUCAAACCUCUGUUUGGAACUCCCUAGCUGAGCUAGCUCCUUGAGAUGACGAUGUAGAACCACAUCUUGAGUGCCGUAUUUCAACUAUCCAUGGUACAAUCCCAAAUCCCCCUUUCCCGAUUUCAGUUUUAAAGUUUUUGGUGAUUUCUAAAACCUCAUCAUAAGUGAACUAGAACUUCUGAAGCUACAGGAGUUUUGUUACGUUUUCUCCAUUUGCAGCUUAAGUAGACAAAAAGAUAUGUGUUCAGACUAACUGGUCAGAAAUACUACUGCACCAUAGUAGGAGCGCCGGUUCUAACUGAAUAAGUAUCAAAGGUAUAAAAUGGUACCUGGUUUUCUUAUUCUUCUCAGCUUCCAUACCAGUAUGAGCACUAUAACUAGGAGGAGAGGCCACUGCUGACAGUAAUGAUCCAAGUAUUGGAACAACCAUGUUCUCCUUGCACUUGAUUGAAUCUGAACUAAAACAGGACUUAUAAGCACAUCGAAAAUCUGAAGGACACAAUACCAUUAGCUUUCAUUAAAGAAAAUGCUAACCUAUUCGGUGCUCUCCAUGAACGAAACUUGCACAGAGCAGUAGGACGAGGAAACCAGUUGAGAUCUUCUUCUCUCUUUGUCUCACUGCAGCCUAUGAACUACCUGGUAUUUAAAACGCGUGACAAUGUUCCGACCAAAAAAGCAGAAAAACGUAUGUGACAGUGUGGAUUUGUACCUCAUGCUGCACAACUUUACAUGAAACAUGAUCCUUAUCACACGGAGAUGCUCAGUCUACAUCAAUCAAUGGAUCAUGCAAUGUUCAUACUAAGAGAGCAAUUUGGUUAAGCCAACGUAUUUUCUAGUCAAAACAUUUCAAGCAUUGUUCCAAAUUGAUUAAGUAGAGGACAAUAUCGAUAUAUAUUAGUAUUUAGCCUACGCUGAUUCACUACACAACAGAUCCCACACCCAUUUUUAACCCAUCAAGUUUUGAACAUGGAAUGAAUGAGAUAGUUUGUAGGAACCAGCAAAGGUAAAGCCUAAAUAGCUACCUAGCAUGUUGCUGUCAUUGAACCUGCAUUUGUGGAAUCUGAACCAAUGGAAAUCACUCUAGGUGAACUCUGGCAUGGUGAAAUUGUAACACAAGUUUCUUCAUUUGAGCCUGGAGUUCUUUGUCGAUGCCUAGAGACCUUUAUUCCAUACAUUGUGUUAGUUGGCACAGCACAGAACCCAUGGUGGUUAUAUGUUGGCACGUGAAAGUUGUGCAUGCCAUUGCUGUCUCUAAAGCUUUCCAGGCCGAAUUCACAUCCAACGCUCCUCGAAUCAUUUGAUACAAAAUCGUUGUUAAAUCCCAUUCUGGAACUCAGGGUUCACCCACUGCACUAUGUGGACAAGAUCAUCAAUUUCUAUGAUUGCAGGUUGGCCAGUAAAACUCUCAAAAUCAAUUUUUUUCAUUCUACCUUCGACAAUUAUAGUACCUGCAGACCAAAAAAAAGUAAUAUCAAACCACUCACUGUUCAUGCAUUUGUAUUUAUAACAUGAUAAAAAAAAUCUAAUAGAACGCAGAAACUUGAACAUACUCUAGAUCAAGAUAACCCACUCUGCCCAUGACCGACGUUACCACACAAGUCUCAUUAUCACUGAAAACAACCCUGGACAGACCGAAAUCUUCUAUUUACGCGUCCAAGCUUUUAUUGCACUGCGCUUGCUCCUCUCUUAAUGCAAUUCUCCUACUGGAUUCCCUUCUUAAGUGAGCUGAAAUACAAAUCCAAUUUAUCUGUGUUUAAAGUAUUCUAGAUAACUCGACCUGAUUUUAUUCAAGGAUGAAAGAUUGAAGAAAGAAGUUACAUAUUGACUAAACAGAUUACCUUCUAAAAAAUUGGUCUAAGAAAACUGUGUUAGUUGAGAGAACCUGCACACAGUGAGAAGAAACACAACCUUGUACAAAAGUGUAUCUCAACAUAUGGAAAUCACUCUAGGUGAACUCUGGCAUGGUGAAAUCGUAACACGAGUUUCUUCAUUUGAGCCUGGCGUUCUUUCUCGACACUUAGACACCUUCAUUCCAAACACUUCCAAACGAGAUAGAGAGUGCAGCCCCUUGGGCAAAUAUUGUAAUUUCCCACAUUUAUAUAAUUCCAAAUGAGAUAGAGAUUGCAAGCUGGAGACAUUGUGAUCCGGCAGAGAUAUCAAAUUGGAGCAUUCACUGACACGCAAAUCGGUAGACUUAUUAAUCCAUCACAUCCCCUAAUUAUCAACUCAGUGAGGGAGGUGGGAAUAGCCUCUAGAUUAGGGUAAAAAUAUAUAUCCAUCUUCUGAAGAGAGACGGGGGUUUGUAGCCCGUGACCCGACAAAGUCCUCAAAUUUGGACAAUUACAGAUCUGCAGUGUGCAAAGACUAGUUCAAGAAUGGAGCCCACGUAUACUUGCGAAUCCAUCGCAGUGUUCAAUAGACAAUCAGCGGAGGGAUGUGCAACCCUUUAAAGACAAGUCCCCCUCGAGAGUAGUGCAUCUCUCAAAAACCAGAUCAUGAAGUGAGGCAGACUCUGAAGUACGUCUUAGCUUUGGGCAAUCAAUUAUUUUCAACUCCUGAAGAGAUUGGGAUGGUGAAAUUUGGAAGGAUUCUAGAUUGCCGCAAUCCUCAAUUUCCACCGUCUCAAGUGAGGGGCAAUAUUCUAACCCACAACACAAGCUCGACAAUUUCUCACAGCUCCUAAUUCUCAAUUGAUGGAGAUUGGUUACUCGACAAUUUCUCAUCAUUCAAGAUGCAAAUUUAGUACCCUUGAAUUCCUCAAUCGUCAAGCUUUCUAAGUUGGGGUGCGGUUGGAAUCCUUCAAGAAUAUCCUCGUCAAGAAAAUUGCCAUUUCUUUCUUUAGGAGGGACCCGCCCCCAUUUUAAUAUCAAUUUUCGUAGGUUUGCCUUUUCCACUAAUUUUGAUUUCACUGCUUCUUCCUUGUCUCUCACAUAUUCUAAUGCUCCAAUAACUAGUUCCCCUUUCAAUUCAUUUAACCUGCCCAACUCAUCAAUUCUAUGACGCCUUGCUCUUUCCAAUUUAAAUGAAGGUAGCGUCUGCAGAUGAGUCAAUCUUGUCAUCCCAAAUGGAACUUCCACAUCCUCGUCGAAAUAAACAUGUCUGAAGUUGAUCAAAUUUUCCAUUUCCUUAGGAAACGUCUUAAGACUAUAUGUUCUUGACAUUUUUAACGUCUGAAGAUUAUAGAGCUUGCCAAUAGAUUUUGGGAGUUUUUUUACUUUUGUCCUUUAAAUGUUGAGAUACCUUAAUCGUUUCAACUUUCCAAUUGAAUUGGGCAACUCCUCAAUUUCAACAUGGAAAAAAUUCAACAUCUGUAAACCUUUAAACCUUUGAAAGAUGUUUUAACGAAAUAUUCCCGGUACUAUUCACUUUUGACGAAAAAUCACAUUUUUACCGUUCCUUGAUAUUGUUCACUACACCUUUAUUUGUCAUUUUUCAUUCAAACUAUUUUUUUUUUUUAACUUUUCAUUAGUUUUCCUUUGAAAAAUAAAUAAAUAAAUAUGGCAUCAGUCAUACAAAGUCAAGCUUUCUAAACCUCUUUUAUGGACAGAUACGGAUUUCACGGUUCGAAGCUCAAUCAACAAGUAAUAUGGACCACUCAAAUUGAAUUCAAUAGUACUAAUUAACUCAUUUGCUGCCUCACCUUACAUAAUCUAAAGACUUCAAUGUCUCUUUCACACAAAGGGCCCAAAUUUUCUGGUCCUUAAGCUCUGAAUACUAAUGUCAGGAGGGGAUCCAAAUUCCUGUUUAUUAUCCAUCUGUCAAAUUGUCAACUGUUUGCUUUAGCUUGUUGUCCUAGUUUCUCUCUUCCUCAUCCUCCUCUAGCUAGCUUUUGGACUCCGGCAUCCGAAUCACAUGUCCAUGCGGCCCUAGACACAUUAAAGCUUACCUACUCAAUGUAAUGACUCCAUUCCCCUCUCCAACUACCUUCAUGGCCCAACACCUCCAGAGGUUUCAAACGAAAGAAUUUCUAGGUUCUUGUGUCCGAAACCCCAGCUAAGUUUAAUAGACGAGGGGUGGGAACAUAAUAUCUUGUAUCGUGGGCCUCACAAUCAUGGAGAUAUAGUGCUUUUUAGUGUCCAAGCCAUAUGAAUUAGGUGGUCCGGUUGCUCUAAACUAGAAUUUUAUCCUCAAUUUGACAAAUUAACAAUGGCUAAUUGGCUAUGCGUCUCCCUCUCUAUGUUGUUAAUAGUGUCGAUAUUGUCCCAUCACAUCAAUUGAAGAAAAACCCCUAUCAGGAAUAAUAUGUAUUAACAAAACAUGAUGCUUUAUUUGAGAAUUUAUUUGAGAAUCAUAGCCUUUGGAUGAGUUCACGAUAGAUAAAUACCACAAAGUAUAGAUAGUCAAAGUUCAAACAUUAUUGACGGAUGGUGAAUGUGAACGAUAAUUCAAGAGUAGUGAGAAAGAUGAUUGGUAUUAAGUCUUUGGUCACUAUUAUCUUGAAAGUUGAUGACCAAAAUGACAACUGCCUCCUUCUUUUGGCUGCAACAGCAGAAAUAGGAUGCUUACAUGGAACCUGCAUUUGUGGAAUAUGAACAUCUGGAAAUUACUCCGGGUGAACUCGUAACACGAGUUUCUUCAUUUGAGCAUGGAGCUCUUUCUCGAUGCCUAGAUGUACACCUCCAUUUCCAAACACUCUGUUAACGCACAGCACAAAACUCUCUGCUGAGAGGUGGAAGUUGUGCAUGCAAUUGCUGUCUCUAAUGGUUUCCAGAACGAAUUCACGUCAAACUCUCCUCAAAUCUUUCGAUCUCAAAACCCCGUUCUGGAACUCAGGAAUCAGGAUUCACCAACUCCACUAUGUAGAGAAGAUCAUCAUUUUCUAUGAUUGCAAGUUGGCCAGUAAAACUCUAAACAUCAAUUUUUUUCAGUCAACCUUUGAUAAUUAUAGUACCUGCAGAUCAAAUAAAGUAAUCAUAGAUCAUUCACUGCUCAUAGAUUUGUUUGUUUUUUUAAAUCAAAAUUCUAAGAACACGAAAUCUGAACAUACUCAAGAUCAAGAUACCCCGCUGUACUCAUGGCCGAUGUCACCACGAGUCUCACUGUCACUGGGAAAUGCCAUGGACAGACCGAAAUCUGCUAUUUUUGCUCCAAGUUUUCACUUAAGAGAAUGUUGGCAGUAUUUACAUCUCUAUGCACAGUACGUGGAUUGCACCUUUAUGCAAGUAAAUAGUCCUGUGAGCCAAAUUUCACAAUAUACAUAUGUUGAAUUAGGCAUAUGAACUUGCACAAUUAUAUUAGCGUACGAAAUAACACAACGCACCAACCUAUAGGCAAUAUCUAGUGUUAUCCGAAGUCUCAUUUCCCAAGUCACAUGUGAGCUUCUAUCUGCAUGCAGCCAUUGACGUGACACUUCAAUAUUUUGAAACCCUCUGAUGGAGGACAAUGCUUAUAAAAUAUAGAUCUACAUACCUGAGAGAUAUUCUUUUAGGUUUCCUUUAGGAAUGUACUCGUAUGUAAUAUAAGUACCAAGUAAUCGGUAUCAACACAGUAUCCAAUAAAUGAGGCCAAGUUUCUAUGAUGUAUUCUCAUCAGGAGCUCAACCUGCAGCGACAAGGAACUCAUCAAUCUCUAACCAACGAGACAAGGCACUUGCAAUUCCAAGGAAUUAAAAUCCUAACUGUCAAACCUCUGUUUGGAAUCCCCUAGCUCCUUGAGUUGACGAUGGAGAAAGUAUUUUAACCGCAACUUGAGUGCCAUCUUCCAAGUAGCCAUGGUAUACAAUCCCAAAUCCUCAUUUCCCAAUUUCAGUUUGAAAGUUUUCGGUGAUUUUUAAAACCUCAUCACAAGUAAACUGGGACUUCAUUGAUGCUACCGGUGUGCUACAGGUGUUUUGUUAUGUUUUUCUCCAUCUGCAGCUUAAGGACAAAAAGUUAUGAGUUCAGACUAACUGGAUAGGAAUACCACUACGCCUUAGUAGCAGUGCCGUUUCUAACUAAAUAAGUAUCAAGGUUAUAAAAUGGUACCUGGUUUUCUUAUUCUUCUCAGCUUCCAGACCAGUAAGAGCACUACAACUUGAAGGAGGGCCAUUGUUGAAAGUAAUGAUCCAAGUAUUGGAACAACAAUGUUCUUCUUGCACUUGCUUGAAUCUGAGCUAAAAAGAACUUAUCAGCAGAUAGAAAAUAUAAAUCUGAAGGACGCAAUACCGUUCGCUUUCGUUAAAGAAAAUGCUAACCUACUCAGCACUCUCCAUGAAUGAAACUUGCACAUAGCAGUACGACGAGGAAACCAGUUGAGAUCUUCACCUCUCUGUCUCAUUGCAGCCUGUGAACUACCUGGUAUUUAAAAUGUGUGACAAUGUCCUGACCAAAAAAACAGAAAAACGUAUAUGACGGUGUGGAUUUGAAACCUCAUGCUGCACAACUUGCAGAGUACAUACAAGAUCCUUAUUACAUGGGGAUGCUUAGUCUACCCCAAUCAAUGGAUCAUGCAAUGUUCAUACUAAGAGAGCAAUUUGGUCAAGCCAACGCAUUUUCUAGUCAAAGCAUUUAAAACAUUGUUCCUAUUAGGGUUAUGUGGUGUGAUACAAGUCAGGGAGACAACCCGAAGUAUUAGACAAAAGUGAUUAAGUCGAGGACAAAAUAGAUGCAUACUUGUAUUUAGCCUACACUGAUUCACUGCACAACAGAUCCCACACCCAUUUUUAACCGACCAAGUUUUGAACAUGGGAUGAAUGAGAGAGUUUGAGGCUACCUAGCAUGGUGCUGUCAUGGAACCUGCAUUUGUGGAAUUUGAACAUCUGGAAAUCACUCUAGGUGAACUCUGGGGUGGUGAGAUCAUAACACGAGUUUCUUCAUUUGAGCCUGGAGUUCUUUCUCGAUGCUUAGACACCUCCAUUCCAUACAUUUUGUUAGUUGGCACAGCACAAAACCAACCAUGGUGGCUCUAUGUUGGGAGGUGGAAGUUGUGCAAGCCAUUGCUGUCUUUAAUGGUUUCCUGACCGAAUUCACAUCGAAAUUUAUAUGAAUCGUUCGAUGCAAAUUAGUUGUUAAAUCACCAUUCUGGAACUCAGGAUUCACCCACUCCACGAUGUGGACAAGAUCAUCACUUUCUAUGAUUGCAGCCUUGCAGGUUAGCCAGUAAAACUCUAAAAUUCAACCCUUGAUAAUUAUAGUACCUACAGACAAUAAAAAGUAAUCAUAAAUAAACCACUCACUGUUCAUACAUUUGUAUUUAUAACAUGAUAAAAAAUCUAAUAGAACAUGGAAAUUUGAACAUACUCGGGAUCAAGAUAACCCGCUCUGCCCAUGACUGAUGUCACCACACUAGUCCCAUUAUCACUCGAAAAAACCACAGACAGACCAAAACCUGCUAUUUUCGCGUCCAAGUUUUUGUUGUACUGUGCUUGCUCUCCUCUCUUAAUGCAAUUCUCAUAUUUGAUUCCCUUCUUAAGUGUAGCUGAAAUACAAAUCCAAUUUAUCUGUGAUUAACAUAUUCUAGAUAACUCGACAUGAUUUUAUUCAAGGAUGAAAGAUUGAAGAAAGAAGGUGCAUAUUGACGAUACAGAUUACCUUACACAAAAUUGGUCUCAGAAAAGUGUAUCUGCACCAUAACACCAUGUGGAACAUGUCUUAGAACAUAUUUGAAUGCACAUUGGAUGUUAAAACAUAUACAGAAUGACCACGGAUUCGUAAACAGUUGCAAAUGUACUUCUAUUUACUCAUAUUUAAGGACUAAAAAGCUUAAUUUCCACAAAAGUCUUAAGUGCUGUUCCAAAAAGAUUGUGAAAGCAAAGAAAUUAAUGUUCUUCCACGAGGCUAGAAAAUGUAUGAUUUUGCAAACUAAAUGCAACUAAGACAAGAGAACAGAACCAAUCACGAAUUACUGUUUCGGGAAAGAAAUCUACACUUGACAGUUGGAAAUGCGAGAAAUCUUGGGCCAGUCAAGCAGGGUGCUUCUUUUAAUUUAGAACACAACAGUAAAAUUUGAACUGGCUUCCCUACUGUCAAUAGAUACUCCAGGUUCCCACAACGGUGAGUAGAUAGAUCAUCGACACAUGAAAGGUUCCGUCAUCACUCUGGUAAGACCCUUCUGAAUCAUCAAGUGCCAUUGUUGAUAGUAAUGAUCCAAGUAUUGGAACAACAAUAUUCUUCUUAAGCUUGCUUGAAUCUGAUCUAAAAAUAACUUAUCAGCAGAUAGAAAAUAUAAAUCUGAAGGACGCAAUGCCAUUCGCUUUUGUUAAAGGAAAUGCUAACCUAUCGGGCACUCUCCAUGAACAAAACUUGCACAGAGCAGUAGGACGAGGAAACCAGUUGAGAUCUUCAUCUCUCUGUCUCAUUGCAGCCUAUGAACUACCAGGUAUUUAAAACGCGUGACAAUGUCCCAACCAAAAAAACAGAAAAAACGUAUAUGAGUGUGGAUUUGUAACCUCAUGCUGCACAAUGAUCCUUAUCACAUGGGGAUGCUUAGUGUACGUCAAUCAAUGGAUAAUGCAAUGUUCAUACUAGAGCAAUUUGGUCAAGUCUAACAUAUUUUCUAGUCAAAGCAUUUCAAACAAUGUUACUGUUAGGGUUAUGUGCUGUGAUACAACCCGAAGUAUUGGACAAAAGUGAUUGAGUUGAGGACAAUAUAGAUACAUACUAGUAUGUAGCCUACACUGAUUCACUGCAUAAAAGAUCCCAAACCCAUUUUUAACCCACCAAGUUUUGAACAUGGGAUGAAUGAGAGUUUGUAGCUCCCUAGCAUGGUGCAGUCAUGGAACCUGCAUUUGUGGAAUCUGAACGUCUGGAAAUCACUCUAGGUGAACUAUGGUAUGGUGAAAUCGUAACACGAGUUUAUUCAUUUGAGCCUGGAGUUCUUUUUGGAUGCCUAGGCACCUCCAUUUCCAAACGUUGUGUUAGUUGACUUGACACGGCACAAAACCCAUGCUGCAGACCAAAAAAAGUAAUCAUAAACCACUAACUGUUCUUACAUUUGUAUUCAUAACAUGAUAAAAAUCUAAAGGAACAAGGAAAUUUGAACAUACUCUGGAUCAAGAUAACCUGCUGUGCCCAUGACUGAUGUCACCACACGAGUCCCAUUAUCACUGGAAAAAACCAUGGACAUACUGAAAUUUGCUAUUUUCGCAUCCAAGUUUUCGUUGCGCUGGGAUCGCCUCCUCUCUUAAUGCAAUUCUCUUACUGGAUUCCCUUCUUAAGUAAGCUGAAAUACAAAUCCAAUUUAUCUGUGAUUAACGUAUUUUACAUAACUUGACAUGAUUUUAUUGGAGGAUGAAAGAUGGAAGAAAGAAGCUCCAUGUUAACUAAACAGAUUACUUUCCAUAAAAUUGGUCUAAUAAAACUGUGUUAGUUGGGUGAACCUGCACAUAGUGAGAUGAAACACAACCCCGUAAAAAAGUGUAUCUGCACGAUAACAAUCAAAUGGAACUAAGACAAGGGAACAGAACAAAUCGUGAAUUACUGUUUCGGGAAAGAAACCUACAUUUGAUUGUCGGAAAUGUGAGAAAUGUUGGGCCAGUGAGGUAGGUUGCAUUUUCUUUUAAUUUAGAACGCAACAGAAAAAAUUGUACCGGCUUCCCCACUGCUGUAGAUGCUUCAGAUUCCCACAGCUGUGAAUAGAUAGAUCGUCCACACACGAAGGGUUCCGUCAUCACUCUGACAAGAGCCUUUUGACUCAUCAAGGGUUCCGUCCACACACGAAGGAUUCCGAUUCUUCACUCAACUAAUAUCCCGUUUACUGCAGAAAACGAGAGUGAGUGAACAAUAUUGGACAAAAUAAAAUAUACAUGGAUAAUUGAUUGGAAAUAAAAAUAAGGGCUCCAAAAAUUAAAAUUACCUCUGAUAACUGGAAUGUGAUAAAUCUUUGGCCAUUCAGGGCCGUCCUUGGCGCAUCUUUCUUUGAGACGGGGACACCAUCGGAUCUGUAGCUUACGUAAUUUGGUUAGGCGUUGCAUAGCUUCGACCGUAGGCAGAUGCAUCAGAUUCUUACAUUUCCAAAUUUCCAACUCUGUAAGAGAUGUAAGGUUGCCCAACCACUCUGGAAGAGCCUCCACACCAUGGAAAUAUUUAAUAGACAAAGAUGUUAGAGAAGUAGAGUGUUGAAUUGGCUGAGGCAGAGACUUGAGCUUAGGCCACCCGUAUAAUAUUAAUUUUUCCGAUGGGACCUGAAGAUCCGGGAAAGAAUCGAGCUCCUUGCAGAACUUACCGAUCCACAACCUUUUCAAACGAGAUAGAGAGUGCAGCCCCUUGGGCAAAUAUUGUAAUUUCCCACAAUUAGACACAGAUAGAGAGGAAAGAGAUUGCAAGCUGGACAAAUUGUGAUCCGCCAGAGAUAUCAAAUUGCGGCAAUCAUCGACAGACAAACUGGUAAGAGACGUGCAGGAUGCAAGCCCACUCGGUAUACUUGUUAAUCGACCGCAUUUCCUAAUCUUCAACUCAGUGAGGAAUGUAAGGUUGUCUAAACUGGGAAUAGCCUCUAGACGAGGGCAAUUAAAGAUACUUAGACCUUCGAGAGAGACGGGGGUUUGUAGCCCAUGACCCGACAAAGUCCUCAAAUUACGACAAUUCCAGAUAAUUAGUGUGCGAAGACUAGUACAAGAUUGGAGCCCAUUCAGUAUACUUUUGAAUCCAUUGCAUUCUUUAAUAAACAAAUAACAGAGGGAUGUGCAACCGUUUAAAGACAAGUCGUCCUCCCCGUCCGCCUCCGGUGAGAAAUCUACCGAGUUCUCGAUUUGCAAAUGACGGAGUGAAGACAGACUGUGAAUUGAAGUGCAUCUUAACUUUGGGCAAAGAGCUAUGUACAACCGUUCAAGAGAUUGGGAUGAUGAAAUUGGAAUGGAUUUUAGAUUGGGGCAAUCCACAAUAUCAAUACUUUGAAGUUUCCGCAAGUGUCCGAGCGGUGGGACCUCCUCACAUUUUUUGCAAUUGGAUAGUUGAAUCUCUGUUAACGAAUCACUCAUCAUACAUGAUGCAAAUUUAGCACCCAUAAAUUUCACAAUCCUCAAGCUUUCUAAAUUGGGGGGCGACUGAAGGCCUUCAAGAAUAUCCUGGUCAAGAAAAUUGCCAUUUCUUUCCGUAUAAUGGCUCCUCUUCCAUUUUAAUUCCAAUUUUCGUAUGUGUGUUUUUCCCACUAAAUUUGAUUUCAUUGCUUCUUUCUUGUCUCUCACAUAUUCCAAUGAUCCAAUAACUAGUUCCCCUUUCACUUCAUUUAGCCCGCCCAGCUCAUCAAUUGUAUGACGCCUUGCUCUAUCCAAAGUAAAGGAACGUAGUGCUUGCAGGUGAGUCAAUUGUGUUAUCCGAAAUGGAAAUUCCUUAUCCUUAUUGAAAUAAACAUGCCUCAAGUUGAUCAAAUUUUCCAUUUCCCUAGGAAACGUUUUAAGAUUGUAUGUUUUUGACAUUCUUAACGUCUGAAGAUUAUAGAGCUUGCCAAUAGAUUUGGGGAGUUCUUUUAUUUAUGUCCUUGAAAUAUUGAGAUACCUCAAGCGUUUCAACUCUCCAAUUGAGAUGGGCAACUCCUCUAUUUCAGCCUUGUAUAAAUUUAACGUCCGUAAAUCUCUAAACCUUUCAAACAUGUUACUGAACUCAAAGCGUCGUGGAGGAAACAACGACCGCAAUCUCGUAACACUCCCUUGUAGAAAUCUUUCAAGUGUGGUGGAAGAAAUCCGGGCAACAUGCUGAAUCUCAAGUGCUCUAUCGUCCAUCCAAUCCAAGUCUCGCGUUAAGCUUUCAAAUUUGAAUACUUCCUCAGCAAGAUCAUGCACAAGAUCAUGCAUCUUGCAUUUGGUAUUCCCAUACUCAUCUUCUCUUUCUCUUCUAUGUGCAUACUCAUAGUUUCUAGCAUCUUGAAAUAAAGAGUUUUGCAAUAGAAUAUUAAAAUGUUCAUUACCUUUAUCCUCCAUGGGAGAAGAAUGGAGAUAUCCUUGAGCCAUCCAGAGCUGGACCAAGUCAUCUUUUUCAAUUUCACAAUCUUUUUCAAACAUUGAGCAAUAUGCAAAACAUUGCUUCAAUGAUGGCUCUCUUAAAUUAUCAAAACUCAACUUCAAGAUCGACAUGAUUUGGUCCUCUCCAUUUGGUAAUUCCCAUAUUUUACUUUCUAGAAUUGACGACCAUUCCUGUGAACGCAUCAAGCUUCCUAAAACCUGUUGAUACAUAAGAUAAUUAGUUUCUAUAUGUUUUAGAAUAUAAAAAGCUGAUCAGCAAAAUAAUAACAGUGCCAAAUUAUAGUUUUAUUGAAUUUUGACUAUAGUUAUUGGCAAUAUAAAAGACGCAUUGAACUCAACUUUGUUUUGUAUCGAUGAAAAGUGAAAGACUGCUCUUGCUAGAAGAGAAAUACUUAAGGGACUUGCUAGCCAAGUAAGAAUUGGUCUCAGAAUUAAUUGAAAGAUACUUUAUUAGAUCAUUUAAAUAUAAGUUUUAAAUUUUUUUUUGAGUACAUCAAUAUAUUUUUACACCAAAAGAUUGGAGAGUUCGGCUAAACCACACAAUGGACAACCUAAUUUGGUAUCGAAUUCGGCAUCCACAAGAUUUGAACCUAAAACCUUUCACUUCUAAAUGAAGAAGAAUAUUAUGAUACUGUAGUACUAAGGGGCUAUAAGUGUCAAUUAGAUACUUAUGAUAACUGAGUAACUGAAUGGUUCGUAACAAUGCACUAGGAAUGUAGUAUUUUGAAGGAGAGCUUUGAUCCACAUUUUCUAGAGCGUUUACAUGUAUAUAUAAGGUUAAGAUUCGGAGACACUCAUUUUUGAAACAUAUUUUAACACAAGUUUUCGUGGCUUUCAUUCUGUAAUUUUUUUUUCAAGGAUCUCAAUCGUUUAUAUUUCAAUUCAUCAUUCAUAGAUCUUUCUUGUAAAAAUUUAGACAAAUCCAAACUCAUUUUGACAUUUAUUGGUAGUGAAGAAAAAAGCCGAUACGAUUCUACAAAGAUACACUAAAUUUAUGCAGUUGCACGAUGAGCACAAAGUGAACUAUUCUUUCGCCUUUUACUAAAGAAACACUGAAUUUGAUCCAAUGGUCAUAUGACUUCAGAUUUGGAUGAUUUUUUGAUAGAGAUGAUAUUUUAGGGAAGACAUAAAAUAUAAGACGGUUAGAUCGUUGAAAUACGUUAAACACACAAUAUAUAUAUACACACACACAGAGCUUAAGGGGAGGGAUCCCCAUUUUUUGGAAAAAAAUGGGGACACGCUCCCCACCGUUAGAUUGACUUUAAUGAAAUUGUGUGAUUGAGAUUGUGUGGCCUGUGUUUUAAUCUCAACCACACAAUUUCAUUAAAGUCAAUCUAAUGGUGAGGAGCGUGUCCCCAUUUUUUUGAAAAAAUGGGGAUCCCUCCCCUUAAGCAAUUCCUAUAUACAUAUAUAUUAUAUAUAUAUAUAUAUAUAUAUAUAUGUAUGUAUAUAUGUAGAUAUAUGUAUAUAUGUAUAUAUAUGUAUAUAGAGAGAGCUUAAGGGGAGGGAUCCUCAUUUUUUGAAAAAAAUGGGGAUUAGGUGUGGGGCCCACUUCACAUCAAAUUUCAACGAUUCGAACCGUCUAUUUUGUUAGUUUCGAUUCAUAGAUCAUCCUUGCAAAAUAUUAGCUAAAUUGGAAAUGUUUAAGACAUCUAAUUGGGUUCAAGGAAAUGAACGAAUACUUUGUUAUAUAAGAAAAUAUGAAAUUUGAUAUUGAUAAUUAAAUAGGCAAAUGGUUUCGGAUUGAAUUGAAUUUUUGCAAGUAUGAUCUAUGAAUCGAGACUAACAAAAUAGACGGUUCGGAUCGUUGAAAUUUGAUGUGAAGUGGGCCCCACACCUAAUCCCCAUUUUUUUCAAAAAAUGGGGAUCCCUCCCCUUAAGCUCUCUGUAUGUAUAUAUAUGUAUAUAUGUAUAUAUAUGUAUAUGAAGGCUUUAAGGGAAGGGAUCCACAUUUUUUUUUAUAUAAAUAGGGAUCUGUUGUGGGGCCAUACCACAUCGAAUUUUAACGAUUCGAACCGUCUAUUUUUCAAAUUGCAUCUCAUAGAUCAUUCUUGCAAAAUAUUAGCCAAAUCGGAAAUAUUUAAGACAUCUAAUUGGGUUCAAAGAAAUUAAUGAAUACUUGUUAUAUAAGAAACAAUGAAAUUUUACCUUGAUAAUUAAAUAGGCUAAUGAUUUCGGAUUGAAUUGAAUUGUUGCAAGAAUGAUCUAUGAAUCGAGACUUUCGAAAUAGACUGUUCGGAUGAAGUUCGAUGUGAAGUGGGCCUAUGGAUUGUUCAAAAAAUGUGUCUCCCAAUCCUAAUCCAUAUAUAUGUUAUAUAAACAAAAUUGACCCUUUAAAGCUCACUAUUAUGUUUUUCAUGCAAUUUUCCUUUAAAAUUGUUGGACAAAAUUAGAUAUACCAAGUUAAGGCUUUUUAUAAUGGCGAUUCUGUUGAAUAUUUAAUCAUACUUAUAUUACUAACAUAUAAUAAUAUUCUUUUUUACCUGUAACUGAAGGGUUUUUAAGUUUUUGACUCAUAUGAAUGGUGAUGACACAUUAUAUUUAUUUGAGUUUGAGUUAGAAAUCUAGAUAAUUGUAUGUUUGACUCUGAAUAAAUAAUUAAAACUUAAAAUUAUGUAAUUGAUGCAUUAUUUAGGAGUUCAAUUAUCUGCUAUUUUUUAGGGAGAAAGAGGCAUAAAUAGUAGUAGUUCGAACAAAAAAACAUAAUUGGACUCACUUAAAAUGUAGCCUAUGAUUUUGGGCCUCUAUCUAAAAACCUUAAUAUAAUAAUAUAUGAAUACAUAUCUUCGCCGCCAAUGGUACACCAGCACACUUUUUAGCUAUGGCCCUUCCAAUGCACUCUUGAUCUGAAUCUAGAGAAGAAGCAUUACCAUCUGGUAAUGCUUCACCCUUUAAUACAGACCAACAAUCCUCCACCGAUAGGCCCUUCAAAUCACACCUCGGCAUUGUCUCAGUGAUUGAUGCAACCUUAGCACUACGGGUAGUAACAAUGGCAAUGCUUCCGGGACCUGAAUUGAGUUUCGACAAACAGUCCAUAAACUCCCUCCAAAAAUUCUUCUCUUCAUUCCAAACAUCAUCAAGUAUCAGAAUAUAUCUCUUGUCUGUCAACCUUUCUUUGAGGUCAUUCAGCAAUGCUUCCCGAGUUGUAAGUCCUGUCCUGUUUGAGUUAAGGGAUUCUAACAUCCGAUUUAGAAUCGAAUUAACCUCAAAAGUGUCGGAUACACACAACCACAUUUUUUCAACAAAAGGCGUACGAAUAGCAUCAUGAUUGAAUAUUGAUUUUGCCAAAGUCGUCUUUCCGAGUCCUCCCAUUCCCACAACGGCCAUAACCGAAAGGUUAUUUUCCUGAUUCUUGGACAUCAAGAUUUUAAUGAUAUCCGACACAAUUUUCUCCCUUCCAAUGAUCUUGUCAUACUGACCGAAGCUCGAGUCAGUUUCUCUGUUCCUCAUAAUUGGAGGAGGGCUAUGAUCUACUGGCCUUACAACUAAGCCAAUGGAAGGUGCCUCACUCUUGAGACCCGCCAGUGACGCAUUGAUGUUCUUAAUCUUUUGUGCCAUCUUUUGACGAAAUAAAAUGGGAUUGGAAAGCGAAAAGAAGUCAAGUACCUUCUUCUUCAUGUGGUUUUGAAUUUCUACUUUACGCCGGAGAACGUCGUAGUUGAUGUCCUCCAAGACGUCAUCGGCAUCGUGAGCUACGUCUUUCAGUUUCUUGACCCAGUUUCUGACUGCCAUGCUCCGAUCCUGUGGUUGGUGGGCAACAUCGCCUAAGUACUGUUCAAUUUCCUCUAACGAUACAGCAAGCUCAGUUGCUUCUUUUUUAAAAUCCUCGGAAAAGACAGAUUUCUUGAGCAGCAAGCGAACCGACCGACUUCAGUAUUCCCUCCACCGGAUAAGUGAUGAGACCUUGUAGCACAUCCAUACUCGCGCGAGAAAGGGAGAUUAGAGAGUAGAAAGCAGAGAACUGAGAGAAAGCCAAGGAAGGACACAAGAAGAGCGAAUAAGAUGAAUGAAAGGCUUAACAAUAAUUCAAGAAAAUGUGGUAUAAGAAGAAAGGACCCCUUAUAAUUGACGCCACUUACCUGUGAGCGUCAACAUAAUGUUCAAGAGCAAUAUUAACCCAUCUUAUCAGCAAAGAUUCUUUCUACAACUUUAGUAAAUAGUGGAGGCGGACUUUGAUUAGUCAAUAUUUAUUGGUCUUCCAUGGAUUUUUGUCAGGACUUAGUACUGGUGACUAUUCAACCCUACCCGGUCCUGUCACUUCAUCUUCUACAUGAUUUCGCGUAGGCAGUGGUAUUUACACAUUUAACUUUACUUUUCAUUCUUAAUUUUACUGAAUGAAUUGAAAAAGAAUAAUUAUACAAAAUUAACAAAAAUGUGUCAGAAAUAAAAAUGAUUGUGUGAAUAAGACUUUCACAUAAAAUGUGUUUUCUUUUACACAAUCGAGCUAGAAACUUGUCUCUUACACAUCGAAUUGACUAUGGUAAACCUAAACCUAACGACAAAAUGCGGUAGCUAUUACGAUCAAACGCUAGGAAUUCGUCUCCAACCCUACACAUAUCUGAUAAAGAGCGAUUAAAUUGGUCUUGGUUUUAGCAGUUUAUACAUACGUCAAAUCCAACGAAAUCAAACCAAACUAAUUAUAGUUUGAUUUAGUUCAACCUAAAAUUGCAUUUUUUUUUCAUUAUAAAAGUCAUACCAAACUUCUUAGAUUGAUUUUUAUACAACGAUAUAUAUACAGAGAUAAAAGUUAAAUCAAAACUUUUUGGAUUGGGGUGUAGUAUAAAUUUGUAUUGAACUCUUCAUUCAUGAAUUUCAAACUUAAGACCUAUUAUUUAUAAGUAAAGAAAAUUAUUGUUAGAUCAUAAUAUUAAAUGACACCCUCUUGGAUGGUUUAGUUUGAACAGUAUUUUCAUACAACGAUAUAUUUACGUUAAAUUGAGAUAAAAUGGACAAGAAUACUCUCCGAAUCUCUAUUUAGGAACUUCCACCACUAUCUCUGAGAGCUUAUUUAAAGAUUUUAAAGAAAUAUUUGGGUCUUUAAAAGAAUAUUGUUUUUUAUGAAAAGUUCUUAUAGUGUAAUCUUCAGAUUAAUAUAAAAACUAAAAUAUUGAAAAAUUAUUAUUCAUGGAUGAAAAAACCUAAAAAAAUAUCUCUACCCUUAGUUUUUCAACAAUUAAAAAAAAAUUACGUGAAAAACCAAAAAUGAAAAUUUCACGUGGGUGGGAAUCGUGGGAUCAACAAACAAGGUAAAAGACAAAAAACCAACUGGUGUGGGUCACUUUUCUCCAAAAUCAACAGAGGCCCACUAUACAAUUUUCACAUUUGAGAUUUUCUUUUGAAGUAUUUAGCGAGUUUUUAUCAAGGAACAAAAUGCCGAUAAUAUCGGUGAUAUUUCGCCGAUAUUAUCGGUUUUUCAGGGUACCGAUAUUUUAAUAGGUAUCCAAUGGGUUUUCGUCAAAAUAUUGCGAUAUUUCCGAAACUAUCGCGAUAUUUUGGAACUGUGCUACUCGGAGAAGAACGCCGGAGCUUCUACAGCUCCGGCCGAUUACAAACGCAAACCUUAGACUCCGAUCUAAUUACCAACGUGAAGAGGAAAGAGAGAGGAGUAAGUUUAUACCCUUGGUUCGCCGUGAAAUGGCUGAAGGUUUUCGGAAAGCUCCUUAACAGUCACGGGUUCGCCGGAGUUGGGUGAGCUUUCCCUUGACCUGAUCUCGUUCCAUAACACACACAUAAGCUUACCUAACUGGAGAAAAUGAAGAAAACUCACCGGAGGUUUCUGGGUUUCGUCAAUCUUGCAGAGACAAGAGGAAGAGAGAGAAAGACGAGGUUUUGAUGGUGAUGCCGUCUACGGAACGAUGGUGUGGGUGCCGUGUACUAGGGUAAUCAUGGGAGAAAGAGUGAGAGUGAUGAGAGGGUUUCGAGAGAGAAGAGAGUGUGCAGAGAAGGAAAGAAAGAGAAGAAGAAAGAAAGGGGGUCUCGGGUAGGAUCUGGUUGAUCUCGGUGACGAUGGUGAUGAAGCCAGAGGAGGAAGAGGAGGAGGGAAGGCGGCGGAGGGAGAAGGAGUAGGAGGAAACGAAGAGGGUUUUGCAGGGGCGGAGAUUGCGAAGAGGGAGAUGAGGGCGAUGAGGAGGAGGAGGGAUCGUUUACUCGUUCUCUCUGUCUUCUCUUCUUUCUCGUUUCAAUUGGCAAUUUAGGGAUUUAAGCAAGUUUUAGGCCCCCAAAUCAUCUACUUAUAUUGCCCUAAAAAACUCCAAGUAAUUACAACAUCGUAUUAGAAUUGUAAUUGAUCCUUGUUAGAUUUGGUUUAGAAAUUCUAUGUAAUUUAGUGAUUGUUUCAUAUUAGGUUUAGAUUUGAAUUUUUUACUCCAUUCAGAUUUUAAAGGAUUAUAAUAGAUUUAAAAAUUUAUGAAUUUUGAUGAAGUUUAAUAAUUUUUAAAACUUUUAUGUAAAAUUUUAAGUGAAUUCCCUCAAAUUUUCAGGGAGCGAUUUGAGAAUGUUUAAAAUAUUAUGUGAAAUAUUUCUAAUUUUUUCGAGUUUCCCAACUUUUUAAAAAUCUCUUCGAAUCAAUUUCUAAAUGAAUACAUUUGGAAUGUAUGAAUAUCUUAAAAAUCAUGAUCGAAUACCCAAAAAACUUUAAAGAAUCACUUAAAAUCCUGAUUAAAUACCCUUAGAUUUUUAAGGAGAAUUAAAAUGUUUAUAAGCCCCAAUUGGAUGUACCGCUUAAUUUAACUAAUUGACACAACACAACAAAACUAGUUAAGAUUACAAAUUAACACAAAAGACGACUUGAUGCGAGGUCAUAUCUAAAAAACUUGCCGCAAUAAGCCCCAAUUGGUGUGUUUAAACUUCUUUCAUUAAUUACUACAUAUUUUCUACACUCACAUGUUUGUCAGCUCGCUAUAUAAUCAACUUGAUAAUGUUAAAUCCAUCAUGCAAUGCAUUUCCUUCCAAUUUUUUGUGAUAAACUAAUAGAUAAUUGACUAAAUAAACAUCCUGCAAAGUUUUUCAAUAAAAAAUUUCCAAGUUUUUCUUACAAUUUUCGUGGUUUCCAUGUAAUUUUUAUCGAUAUCGAUAUUAUCCCGAUAUUUCCAUCGAUUUUCCGUGUUUUCGGACUACCGAUAUUUCCGAUAUUACCGAUAUUUAAUACCUUGGUUUUUAUAUAGGGAGUUUUAACGAAAAACCCACGGUACUGUUCACUUUAACGAAAAACCACAUUUUUACACUAAAAAGUCAAACCUGGUACUAUUCACUUUACCUUUUAUUUUGUCCUUAUCAUUAAAACUCAAAGUUUUCAAGCUUUUUUCAUUAGUUUUCCUUUUUAUAUAUUUGAAUAUUUUUUGACAAAAAAAAUAUUGGAAUAUUUUAAAGACUUUAUUUUCGACUCUUUAAAUACUUUUUGUCUUUAUGUUUAGAGAUUGUACUAUUAUAAAGACUUUGUUUAGAUUCUCUAUUGGAGAUGUUCAAACAUGACAAAAAGGUGAAAGUAGAGCAAGACCACAUAAAUAUAAAUUCAUCUUAUCUGUAAUCUCUUUCGACAACUUUAGAUGAUAGUGUAGACCCAACUUUAACAAAGUAAAUUAAAGAUAUUUAUUAAAAAAUAAUAACAACUUCGUUAGUACAUUCAAAAGUGUAUGUAUGAUAAGAAGAUCCUAAGUAUUCGUUUUUCAGUACUAACGAGAGUCAUCAGAUUGAAAUACCUCCAAGUAAUUGUAAACGAUUCGAAUUCACGGAACAACUAUACAAAUUCAACAUAUGUCAUUUGGUUUCCAAGUUGAUCACUACGUGUAUUUCAAUCAAGGAUGAAAAAAUCGAUAAUAUCGGCGACAUCGUUUUUUUGAAGUUCCGAAAUUUUUUUAACUAUCCAACCUAUUUUCAUCAAAAUAUCGCGAUAUUAUCGAUAAUACCAAUAAUAUCGCGAUAUUAUCGAUAAUACCAAUAAUAUCGCGAUAUUUUCGAAAUUAUCGACAAUAUCGUGAUAUUUUAUUAAAAAAAUACUUAAAUAUGUUGAGAAAACUCAACACAUAGUUAACUUGAUCAUGGCCCAAAGGCCAAACAAGUUUUGGUUAUCUCUCCAGGGAAGUGAGUUUUAUAGCAAAAAUUCAUUUCUCACUUCCUUGCAUGGGCGAUGUGGGACUCGCCCAAUGGGGGAAAAAAUCAAAAUUUCGGCCGAAAUUUUACACUCACUUUAAACGGCCAUAACUUUGUCAAAACUCAACGAAAUCAAGCAAGACAAAAACUAAAGUUGUAGCCCUCGAAGAGACUAAGAGAAUGGUACCUCACACUAUGUCUUAAUCGUAGUGGUUUGGCCGGAAAAUGCCUCGAAAGUCACUGAGGUCGCUGAGGUCGUCGGAAACUGGGUAAGAUUCAAAUGAGUAUAACUUUUUCAAUACGCAACGAAAUUGAGUGAAACAAAAAGGAAAGUUGUAGCCCUCGAAGAGACGAAGAUAAUGGUACCUCACACGAUGUCUGAAUCGUCGUGGUUUGGCCGGAAAAUUCCUCGAAAGUCACUGAGGUCGCUGAGGUCGUCGGAAACUGGGUAAGAUUCAAAUGAGUAUAAUUUUUUCAAUACGCAACGAAAUUGAGUGAAACAAAAAGGAAAGUUGUAGCCCUCGAAGAGACGAAGAGAAUGGUACCUCACACGACGUCUGACUCGUUGUGGUUUGGCCGGAAAUUGCCUCGAAAUCUACUGAGGUCGCCGGAAACUGGGUAAGAUUCAAAUGAGCUUUUUCAAUACGCAACGAAAUUGAGUGAAACAAAAAGGAAAGUUGUAGCCCUCGAAGAGACGAAGAGAUUGAUACCUUGCACGUCAGCCCAAAAUUCAAAUUGACACACUCCUAGCUUCCAAAAUUCAAUACUUUUUACUUUAUAUCAAGUUGAAAAAACAUAAUCGGCAUCCAAAUUAAAGUUUAAUCUUAUUCAAUGUAUUGAUUUUCAAUCGUUAAUUGAUAUACUAUAAUUUGGAACUUCAACGCCUAGACGCAUGCUUAUGUGUAAGAAAUUUAAAUUGUCAAAUUCGGCACAUUAUUCUUCAUCAUUUUAUUCACUUCCCUUUUUUUUUUUUUUAAUAUCCUAAAUAAAACCUCCAAAUAUUGUACUAAUUAAUUAUAUAUAAAUGAUUAUGGUGUGUUUAAACUUCUUUCAUUAAUUACUACAUAUUUUCUACACUCACAAUGUUUGCCAGCUCGGUAUAUAAUCAACUUAAAUCAGUUAAAUCCAUCAUGCAAUGCAUUUCCUUCCAAUUUUUUUGUGAGAAACUAAUAGAUAAUUGACUAAAUAAACAUCCUACAAAGUUUCAUUAAAAAUUUCCAAGUUUUUCUUACAAUUUCCGUGGUUUCCAUGUAAUUUUUAUCGAUAUCGAUAUUAUCCCGAUAUUUCCGUGUUUUCGGACUACCGAUAUUUCCGAUAUUACCGAUAUUUUCUUCCUUGCUUUCAAUAAUAUCUUGUUUAGAAUUUGUUUGGAUUUGCAGAUCCUCCAUCUUCUAACAUAGAGGAAAUUUCUCCAACACUGCCUUCCUUGUAAUUGUUGUAAUGAGAUGCGUUGUUGUUUUCAUGGGGCAGGUCCUAAUGAAUCCUAUAGCUAUUGGACCCCAUCCCACUUGUGUUUGGCAUCGGUGGCACCAUUGUGUUUGGCAAUCAAUGCAAAAUUACGUACAAUAAUUUAAGUAUCAAACAAAAUGUAAACUUCAUUUUGAACAUAUGGAGUAGGGUUUGUUGCAAGUAUAUUAUUGGAGAUCGAAUAAUGACAUGAGACUAAUAAUAAUUUCUGGUGUAAUUUGUUAAUUUUCUGAGUAUUCCACUGACUUUUUGGAAGGCUGGCUGGUGGAGGAAGCUGCUUUUAGCUUUUUAUUACUUCUUGAAACUACCCGCUUCGGAUUUGAAUUUACCAAAAGCAACUUUCAGCUGUUAACUGCAAUUUAUGCAGCUGAUAAGAGAUAUAACCCACUCUACACCUCGUAACGAAAAAAAAAACCCUUCUAUAGACACUUUGAUCACGUCAUCUAUAGAGUUAUUUAGUGUAAGAGCUUUUCUAAUACGUUGAAACUCAUUUUCAAGUGAGAGACAUCAAAUUUGACUCACAUAAAUAGUAAAUUUGAAAACAUUUUUUGUCGAAAAAAAAUAUGUUUGUUACUUAAUUGUUAUAUGUUGGAUGUCGAGUUUCUAUUAGAAAAUAUUUCUUGUAUAUAAAAGGAAAACAAUUUUAAUUUCAUUAUGUACACAUGUCAAUAUCACUGGCAAUUUGACCAAAUGGCUACUAUUUGGUGUUUUAACUGCAAAUGCAUGAAAUCAGUGAGAGAUUUUUCAAUGUGAUCGAUACACAAAAUAAUAUAUCACGUGUCACUAUAUAAAUUUUUAUGUAUGUUAAAAAGUUAAUAACUUAAAAAAUAAAAUUUCUCACAAAUUCUAUAAAAACAUGUGAUGUACCAUUCGUGUUCCGAUCACAAUGAAAAAUUUCUCGAAACCUUCACGCUUGCUUCCUCAAUCACCAACAUUGACCAUUCUCUCUUUCCCAUUAAAAAAAUUAAUAAAUAUGGCGUCAGUCAUACAAAGUCAAGCUUUCUAAACUCUUUUAUGGACAGAUGCGGAUUUUAGGGUUCAAAGCUUAACCAACGGGUAAUUCGGAUCAUUUAACUUGAUUUUAAUAGUACUAAUUAACUCAUUCUGCUGCCUCAUUUUACGCAAUCUAAAGACUUCAACGUCUUUUGGACCUAAAUUUUCUGGUCCUUAGGCUCUGAACCCUAAUGUCAGAAGGGGAACAAAUUCCUCUUUAUUAUCCAUCUGUCAAAUAUUCAACUGUUUGCUUUUAGCUCGUUGUCCUAGUUUCUAUAUUCCUCAUCCUCCUCUAGCUAGCUUUUAGAGUCCGGCAUCCGAAUCACAUGUCCAUGCGGCCCUAGACACAUUAAAGCUUCCCUACUCCAUGUAAUGACUCCACUCCCCUCUCCCUCCACCUUCAUGGCCCAACACCUUUGGGUUUCGGACAAAAUAAUUUAUACAUCUAGAGAGGUUCUUGUGUCUGAAACCCCAGCUAAGUUUAAUAGAGGAGGUGGGAUCAUAAUUUGGUGUAUCGUGGGCCACACAAUCAGGGAGAUAUACUGCUUUUUUAGUGUCCAAGUCAUAGGGAUCAGGUGGAUUGGUUGCUCUAAACUAGAAUUUUAUCCUCAAUUUGACAAAUUAACAAUGGCUAAUUGGCUAUGCCGCUCCCUCUCUAUGUUGUUAAUAGUGUCAAUAUUGUCCCGUUACAUCGAUUGAAGAAAAACCCAUAUCAGGAAUAAUAUGUAUAAACAAAAUAUGAUGCUUUAUUUGAGAAUUUAUUUGAGAAUCAUGGCCUUGGAUGAGUUUACGAUAGAUAAAUACCACAAAGUAUAGAUAGUCAAAAGUUCAAACAUUAUUGACGGAUGGUGAAUGUGAAUGAUAAUUCAAGAGUAGUGAGAAAGAUGAUUGGUAUUUAGUCUUUGGUCACUAUUAUCUUGAAAGUUGAUGACCAAAAUGACAACUGCCUCCCCUUCUUUUGGCUGCAACAGCAGAAAUAGGAUGCUUACAUGGAACCGGCAUUUGUGGAAUAUGAACAUCUGGAAAUUACUCCACUACGUAAGACAAGAUCAUCACUUUCUGUGAUUGCAGGUUGGCCAGUAAAACUCUAAACAUCAAUUUUUUUUCAUUCAACCUUUGAUAAUUAUAGUACCUGCAGACCAAAUAAAGUAAUCAUAGAUCACUCACUGCUCAUAGAUUUGUUUUUUUUUUUUAAAUCAAAAUUCUAAGAACACGAAAUAUGAACAUACUCAGGAUCGAGAUACCCUGCUGUGCUCAUGACCGAAGCCACCACGAGUUUCACUGUCACUGGGAAAAGCCAUGGACAGACCGAGAUCUGCUAUUUUUGCGUCCAAGUUUUCACUUAAGAGAAUGUUGGCAGUAUUUGCGUCUCUAUGCACAAUACGUGGAUUGCACCUUUAUGCAAGGAAAUAGUCCUGUGAGCCAAAUUUCACAAUAUACAUAAGUUGAAUUAGGCAUAUGAACUUGCGCAAGUAUAUUAGCGUACGAAAUAUCACGAAGCACCAACCUAACGCAAUAUCUAGUGUUAUCCGAAGUCUCAUUUCCCAAGUCGCAUGUGACCUUCUAUCUGCAUUUUUAGCCAUUGACGUGACACUUCAAUAUUUUGAAACCCUCUGAUGGAGGACAAUGCUUAUAAAAUAUAGAACUACACACCUGAGAGAUAUUCUUUUAGGUUUCCUUUAGGCAUGUACUCGUAUGUAAUAUGAGUACCAGGUAGUAUCAUCACAGUAUCCAAUAAAUGAGGCCAAGUUUCUAUGAUGUAUUCUCAUCACGAGCUCAACCUGCAGCAACAAGGAACACAUCAAUCUCUAACCAACGAGACAAGGCACUUGCAAUUCCAAGGAAUUUAAAUCCUAACUGCCAAACCUCUGUUUGGAACUCCCUAGCUCCUUGAGUUGACGAUGGAGAAAGUAUUUUAACCGCAACUUGAGUGCCAUCUUCCAAGUAGCCAUGGUAUACAAUCCCAAGUCCUCCUUUCCCAAUUUCAGUUUGAAAGUUUUCGGUGAUUUCUAAAACCUCGUCGUAAGUAAACUGGGACUUCAUUGAUGCUACUGGUGUGCUACAGGUGUUUUGUUAUGUUUUUCUCCAUCUGCAGCUUAAGGACAAAAAGUUAUGAGUGCAGGCUAACUGCAUAGGAAUACCACAACGCCAUAGUAGCAGCGCUGUUUCUAACUAAAUAAGUAUCAAGGGUAUAAAAUGGUACCUGGUUUUCUUAUUCUUCUCAGCUUCCAGACCAGUAAGAGCACUAUAACUUGAAGAAGGGCCAUUGUUGAAAGUAAUGAUCCAAGUAUUGUUCAAAGUAAUGAUCCAAGUAUUGGAACAACAAUGAUCUUCUUGUACUUGCUUGAAUCUGAGCUAAAAAGAACUUAUCAGCAGAUAGAAAAUAUAAAUCUGAAGGACGCAAUACCAUUCGCUUUCGUUAAAGAAAAUGCUAACCUAUUCAGCACUCUCCAUGAACGAAACUUGCACAAAGCAGUAGGACGAGGAAACCAGUUGAGAUCUUCAUCUCUCUGUCUCAUUGCAGCCUAUGAACUACCUGGUAUUUAAAAUGUGUGACAAUGUCCCGACCAAAAAAACAGAAAAACGUAUAUGACAGUGUGGAUUUGUAACCACAUGCCGCACAACUUGCAGAGUACAUACGUGAUCCUUAUUACAUGGGGAUGCUUAGUCUACGUCAAUCAAAACCUUCCCCAGAAAACUAAAUCCCUAAUAUCAGAAUUUCAAAAACCCUAACCCUUGGGAUCCUGCUGACAGCGCUGGGGCUGGGCUGACGGUGCUGGGGUGACGGCAGUGGGGUGAUGGCGGUGUGGCGACGAUGUUGCUCCAAGCGGUGGCGUGGCGACCAGACCGGUGUUCUGGGCUUCUGGGCUUCUGGCGCGCGAGAGAAGAAGAAGCAAGAAGGCAGAAGGCAGAAGGCAGAGGUAGACGAAGGCGAUCGAAUUCGAAGGUAUGGUAUGAAGACUGAAAAUCCUUACCCAAACGGCGUUGUUUUGGGUUUGGAUGGUUUUCAAAAAACAAAAAAAAGGGUAUGACAAGGCGCCUGGACGCCCUGAGGCGCGCCUCCGCCGCCUCGGCGUCUCCGGCGAAGCAUUUCGCCUACUCCAGAAAAACUGAGGCGUUUGCCUCACCGCCCAGCCUCAAAGGCGCCCUAGGCGCGCCUCGAGGCGAGUUCUUUAAAACAUUGCUUAGAACUUAUUCGAAUGCACAUUGGACGUUAUAACAUAUACAGAAUGACCACGGAUUCGUAAACAGUUGCAAAUGUACUUCUAUUUACUCAUAUUUAAGGACCAAAAAGCUUAAUUUCCACAAAAGUCUAAAGUGCUGUUCCAAAAAGAUUGUGAAAGCAAAGAAAUUAAUGUUCUUCCACGAGGCUAGAAAGUGUAUGACUUUGCAAACUAAAUGCAACUAAGACAAAAGAACAGAACCAAUCACGAAUUACUGUUUCGGGAAAGAAACCUACACUUGACUGUAUGAAAUGCGGGAAAUCUUGGGCCAGUCGAGCAGUUGCUUCUUUUAAUUUAGAACACAACAGUAAAAUUUGGACUGGCUUCCCUACUGUCGAUAGAUACUUCAGGUUCCCACAACGGUGAGCAGAUAGAUCAUCGACACAUGUAAGGUCCCAUCAUCACUCUGGUAAGACCCUUCUGAAUCAAGUGCCAUUGUUGAUAGUAAUGAUCCAAGUAUUGGAACAACAAUAUUCUUCUUGAGCUUGCUUGAAUCUGAUUUAAAAAUAACUUAUCAGCAGACAGAAAAUAUAAAUUCUGAAGGACGCAAUGCCAUUCGCUUUCGUUAAAGGAAAUGCUAACCUAUUGGGCACUCUCCAUGAACAAACUUGCAGAGAGCAGUAGGACGAGGAAACCAGUUGAGAUCUUCAUCUCUCUGUCUCAUUGCAGCCUAUGAACUACCAGGUAUUUAAAACACGUGACAAUGUCCCGACCAAAAAAACAGAAAAACGUAUGAGUGUGGACUUGUAACCUCAUGCUGCCUGCACAAUGAUCCUUAUUACAUGGGGAUGCUUAGUGUACGUCAAUCAAUGGAUAAUGCAAUGUUCAUACUAGAGCAAUUUGGUCAAGCCAACGUAUUUUCUAGUCAAAGCAUUUCAAACAAUGUUCCUGUUAGGGUUAUGUGCUGUGAUACAACUCGAAGUAUUGGACAAAAGUGAUUAAGUUGAGGACAAUAUAGAUACAUACUAGUAUGUAGCCUACACUGAUUCACUGCACAACAGAUCCCACACCCAUUUUUAGCCCACCAAGUUUUGAACAUGGGAUGAAUGAGAGUUUGUAGCUACCUAGCAUGGUGCAGUCAUGGAACCUGCAUUUGUGGAAUCUGAACAUCUGGAAAUCACUCUAGGUGUACUAUGGUAUGAUGAAAUCGUACAAAACCCAUGCUGCAGUCAUGGAACCUCCAUUUCCAAACGUUGUGUUAGUUGACACGACACAGCACAAAACCCAUGCUGCAGACCAAAAAAAAGUAAUCAUAAACCAACUGUUCUUACAUUUGUAUUCAUAACAUGAUAAAAAAUCAAAUAGAACAAGGAAAUUUGAACAUACUCUAGAUCAAGAGAACCCGCUGUGCCCAUGACUGAUGUCACCACACAAGUCCCAUUAUCACUGGAAAAAACCAUGGACAUACUGAAAUCUGCUAUUUCCACAUCCAAGUUUUCGUUGCGCUGGGAUUGCCUCCUCUCUUAAUGCAAUUCUCUUACUGGAUUCCCUUCUUAAAUAGGCUGAAAUACAAAUCCAAUUCAUCUGUGAUUAACGUAUUUUACAUAACUUGACGUGCUUUUAUUCGAGGAUGAAAGAUGGAAGAAAGAAGUUACAUAUUAACUAAACAGAUUACCUUCCAUAAAAUUGGUCUAAUAAAACUGUGUUAGUUUGGUGAACAGAUUACCCUGUACAAAAGUGUAUCUGCACCAUAACAAUCAAAUGGACCUAAGACAAGAGAACAGAACAAAUCGUUAAUGACUGUUUCGGGAAAGAAACCUACACUUGACUGUUGGAAAUGUGAGAAAGGUUGCAUUUUCUUUAAAUUUAGAACACCACAGAAAAAAUUGUACUGGCUUCCCCACUGCUGUAGAUGCUUCAGAUUCCCAACAGCUGUGAAAAGAUAGAUCGUCCACACACGAAAGGUUCUGUCAUCACUCUGGCAAGAGCCUUUUGAAUCAUCGAGUGACAAUGAUUCCGAUUCUGACUAAUAUCCCGUUUACUGCAGAAAACUAGAGUGAGUGAACAAUAUUGGACAAAAUAUACAUGAUAAUUGAUUGGAAAUAAAAAUAAGGGCUCAAAAAAUAAAAAUUACCUCGGAUAACUGGAAUGUGAGAAAUCUUUGGCCAUUCUGGGCCGUCCUUGGUGCAUCUUUCCUUGAGACGGGGACACCUUUGGAUCUCUAGCUUAUGUAAUUUGGUUAGGCAUUGCAUAGCUUCGACCGUAGGCAGAUACAUCAGAUUCUCACACCAGGAAAUUUCCAACUCUGUAAGAGAUGUAAGGUUGCCCAACCAUUCUGGAAGAGCCUCCACACCAUCGAAAGCAGAAAUGGACAAAGAUGUUAGAGAAGUAGAGUGUUGAAUUGGCCGAGGCAGAGACUUGAGCUUAGGCCACCUGUACAAUGCUAAUUCUUCCAGUUUCGAUGGGACCUGAAAAUCUGGGAAAGAAUCGAGCUCUUUGCAGAAUAAAUCGAGCUCCUUCCAGUUUUGGUGUGAUACAAGUCAGAGAGACAAUCCGAAGUAUUGGACAAAAGUGAUUAAGUCGAGGAAAUAUAGAUACAAACUAGUAUUUAGCGUACACUGAUUCACUGCACAACAGAUCCCACACCCAUUUUUAACCCACCAAGUUAUGAACAUGGUAUGAAUGAGAGAGUUUGUAGCUACCUAGCAUGGUGCUGUCAUGGAACCUGCAUUUGUGGAAUCUGAACAUCUGGAAAUCACUCUAGGUGAACUAUGGAAUGGUGAAAUCGUAACACAAGUUUCUUCAUUCAAGCCAGUUUCUUCAUUUGAGCCUUGAGUUCUUUCUGGAUGCCUGGACACCUUCAUUUCCAAACAUUGUGUUAGUUGACAUGACACAGCACAAAACCCAUGCUGCAGACCAAAAAAAGUAUUCAUAAACCACUCACUGUUCAUACAUUUGUAUUCAUAACAUGAUAAAAAAAAUCUAAUAGAACAAGGAAAUUUGAAAAUACUAUAGGUCAAGAUAACCCACUGUGCCCAUGACUGAUGUCACCACACGAGUCCCAUUAUCACUGGAAAAAACCAUGGACAUACUGAAAUCUGCUAUUUUCGCGUCCAAGUUUUCAUUGCUCUGGGAUUGCUCUCCUGUCUAACUGCAAUUCUCUUACUGGAUUCCCUUCUUAAGUGAGCUGAAAUACUAAACCAAUUUAUCUGUGAUUAACGUAUUCUAGAUAACUCGACAUGAUUUUAUUCAAGGAUGAAAGAUUGAAGAAAAAAGUUACAUAUUGACUAAACAGAUUACCUUCCACAAAAUUGGUCUCAUAAAACUGUGUUAGUUGAGAGAACCUGCACAGAGUGAGAAGAAACACAGCCUUCUACAAAAGUGUAUCUGCACCAUAACAACCAUGCACAACAAGCCUUAGAACAUAUUCGAAUGCACGUUGAAUGUCGUAAGUUAUACAGAAUGGCCACAGACUUGCAAACACUUGCAAUUUUACUUCUAAUUAGUAAUUACUAAAAGCUUAAUUUCCACAAAAGCCUAAAGUCCUACAACAACAACAACAACAACAAAGCCUUUUCCCACUAAGUGGGGUCGGCUAUAUGAAUCCUAGAACGCCAUUGCGCUCGGUUUUGUGUCAUGUCCUCCGUUAGAUCCAAGUACUCCAAGUCUUUUCUUAGAGUCUCUUCCAAAGUUUUCCUAGGUCUUCCUCUACCCCUUCGGCCCUGAACCUCUGUCCCGUAGUCACAUCUUCGAACUGGAGCGUCAGUCGGCCUUCUUUGCACAUGUCCAAAUCACCGGAGCCGAUUUUCUCUCAUCUUUCCUACAAUUCCGGCUACUCCUACUUUACCUCGGAUAUCCUCAUUCCCAAUCUUAUCCUUUCUCGUGUGCCCAUACAUCCCACGAAGCAUCCUCAUCUCCGCUACACCCAUUUUGUGUACGUGUUGAUGCUUCACCGCCCAACAUUCUGUGCCAUACAACAUCACUGGCCUUAUUGCCGUCCUAUAAAAUUUUCCCUUGAGCUUCAGUGGCCUACGACGGUCACACAACACGCCGGAUGCAUUCUUACACUUCAUCCAUCCAGCUCGUAUUCUAUGGUUGAGAUCUCCAUCUAAUUCUCCGUUCUCUUGCAAGAUAGAUCCUAGGUAGCGAAAACGGUCGCUUUUUGUGAUCUUCGCUAGAUUGCUCCGGUCAUUAGUGUGGAUAAGUAUAUAAAUGGAUAGAGAUAGGAAAGCAAACACAAGAUGUACGGGGUUCACCCAGAUUGGCUACGUCCACGGAAUAGAAGAGUUCUCAUUAAUUGUGAAGGGUUUACACAAGUACAUAGGUUCAAGCUCUCCUUUAGUGAGUACAAGUGAAUGAUUUAGUACAAAUGACAUUAGGAAAUAUUGUGGGAGAAUGAUCUCGUAAUCACGAAACUUCUAAGUAUCGGAGUGUGGUGUCGUCUUGACUUGCCUUAUCUGUCUCAUAGGUAGAUGUGGCAUCUUCUCUGGAAGUACUCUUCCUCUAUCCAAGGGUGGUAUCUUUAACUGGUGGAGAUGCACAAGGUAAUGUAUCAAUUUCACUUGAAGCUUACUUGUAGUUUCAGGCUUGGUCAAGCGCGAUACAAACCAUGUAGUACGAGUCCCCCAAGUCGCCGAGCUAGGGGGUCUGCUGAAAGAGGUGACAGACAAGGUAAGCAAUCAGAGCUCCGACUGAUUGUUCACCUUCUCCCCAUCUUGCAGCAGCAUGAAGGAUAAAGAGAAGAAAAAUGAGAAGAGAUGAUAUGAGAUACUUUUGCUUUUGAAGAAGUAACUUUCCACAGGCUUAUUCUUGAAUUGAGCUGGAGGGUUUUCUGGUUUCCUCCAGAGUAUAAGGCCGACUGAAGAAUUUGAGGGUCAAAACAAGUCCAUCAAAUCUAGAGUACAUUCCACCCUGCUGAUAUGGGAUGCUUUUGCUUUUGACAGAGUAAUGGAUGUAUCGGCACGUGUGCUGUUACGCUUGUCUCCACAUGCUUCCUUGUAUCCUUCGCACUUGCCCUAUCUGUUCCUCAAGUAGAUGCGGAAUCUUCCCUGGAAACAUAAGAUGUUGAAGAUGAGUACUCGAGAGCAAUGCCAGGUAAGUAAUCAGGUAAGGGGUUCCAGGCAGUCAGUUCCUGGCUGGAAGCUUGAUUCCAAGUGCUGACUGAUUGCUCUCUUUCUCCUUGUCUUGCAGGUAAAAACAAGGCCAAAGGAAAAGACAGGGAAAAAGCAUGAUAUGGGAUACUCUUGCUUUUAACCCUGAUGAUAUGAGAUAUUCUUGCUCUAGUAUAGCUUGUUUGCAUAGGUAUUAUCGGGGGGAAGGAAAGCUGAAUAUUUCGAAAGGCUUCGUUGGGAGUGCCCUCUCAGAUAUGAUGAAGGGUUGAGCAUUUUUGCAGGUCUGCCUGUCUGUUGGGGAUGGAGGUCGACAUAUAUAGGAGUCUCCCUAAGAAGUAGUAAUGUUAUUCCUUUACCCUGCUUGGUCAUAGCACGGUAGUGGGAGCGGCCAGUUUCACAUGUUUUAACUCUGUCAGAGCACUUUGAGAAAGUGGUCUGUGGUAUCUGGCUCUCGAGAUUCGGAGAACGAUGCCUCUUCGAUUUUUGAGAAAGCAAUCAUGCUAGGGGUCUGGCUCUCGAGAUUCGGAGAGCGGUGUCUCUUCGAUUUUUGAGAAAGUAAUCAUGUUGGGAGUUUGGCUCUCGAGAUUCGGAGGGCGGCGCCUCUUCGAUUUUGGAGCAAGCAAUCUUGUUGGGAGUGUUGUCUCGAAUGUGAGUAAAGGUUGGGCAUGUUUGUUAGUCUACCUUGCCACGAAGCACAAAGGUUGACACACAGGGAUUUUCCAAUUAUCCAGCAAUGGUACUGUUCCUUUACCCUCUCUUCGAUUUUGAGAAAGUAGUCAUGUUGGGAGUCUGGCUCUCGAGAUUCGGAGGACGGUGUCUCUUCGAUUUUGGAGCAAGCAAUCUUGUUGGGAGUGUUUUCUCGAAUGUGAGUAAAGGUUGGGCAUGUUUGCUAGUCUACCUUGCCACGAAGCACAUAGGUUGACAAACAGGGACUUUCCAAUUAUCCAGCAGUGGUACUGUUCCUUUAUCCUUGUGGGUAAUAAUAUGGUAAUAAUAUGGUAGCUAGACCUUCAAAAUUUAUGUGUCUAAACUUUGUUAGUGCUACUUCUUUGCUAUUCUUUUACCUUUCUUGGUCAGAGCGAUGUAGUGGGAGCUGCAAGCUUCACGUGCUCAACUUUGGCAGAGAACUUUGGCAAAGUUAUCUGUGGUACCCAUGAGCUAUUGUUGCGUGUGGGAAGUGGGUGAUUGAACAGUAAGAUUCAUGUGCUUUCUACUUCACCAGAAGUCUUCGACAGAAUGCCCAUAAUUUCUGCAAAGCUGAGUGUGCGUGUGACAGGUGCUGACAAGGCUAGAAAAGUAGGUGCCUCUUCGAUUUCUGAGAUCGGCCCUCGUGGUCUCUAAGCAGCCCAGCUUUUGAGAAAGCGAGCGCCUCUUCGAUUGAUUCGGAGAACGAUGCCUCAUCGAUUUUUGAGAAAGCAAUCAUGCUGGGGGUCUGGCUCUCGAAGAUUCGGGGAGCAGUGUCUCUUCGAUUUUUGAGAAAGUAAUCAUGUUGGGAGUCUGGCUCUCGAGAUUCGGAGGGCGGUGCCUCUUCGAUUUUGGAGCAAGCAAUCUUGUUGAGAGUGUUUUCUCGAAUGUGAGUAAAGGUUGGGCAUGUUUGCUAGUCUACCUUGCCACGAAGCACAGAGGUUGACACACAGGGACUUUCCAAUUAUCCAGCAGUGGUACUAUUCUUUUACCCUCUCUUCGAUUUUUAAGAAAGUAGUCAUGUUGGGAGUCUGGCUCUCGAGAUUCGGAGGACGGUGCCUCUUCGAUUUUGGAGCAAGCAAUCUUAUUGGGAGUGUUUUCUCGAAUGUGAGUAAAGGUUGGGCAUGUUUGCUAGUCUACUUUGCCACGAAGCACAGAGGUUGACACACAGGGACUUUCCAAUUAUCCAGCAGUGGUACUAUUCCUUGACCCUUGUGGGUAAUAAUAUGGUAGCUAGACCUUCAAAAUUUAUGGGUCUAAACUUUGUUAGUGCUGUUUCUUUGCUAUUCUUUUGCCUUUCUUGGUCAGAGCGAUGUAGUGGGAGCUGCAAGCUUCACGUGCUCUACUUUGGCAGAGAACUUUGGCAAAGUUAUCUGUGGUACCCAUGAGCUAUUGUUGCGUGUGGGAAGUGGGUGAUUGAACAGUAAGAUUCAUGUGCUUUCUACUUCACCAGAAGUCUUCGACAGAAUGCCCAUAAUUUCUGCAAAGCUGAGUGUGCGUGUGACAGGUGCUGACAAGGCUAGAAAAGUAGGUGCCUCUUCGAUUUCUGAGAUCGGCCCUCAUGGUCUCUAAGCAGCCCAGCUUUUGAGAAAGCGAGCGCCUCUUCGAUUGAUUCGGAGAACGAUGCCUCAUCGAUUUUUGAGAAAGCAAUCAUGCUAGGGGUCUGGCUCUCGAAGAUUCGGGGAGCAGUGUCUCUUCGAUUUUUGAGAAAGUAAUCAUGUUGGGAGUCUGGCUCUCGAGAUUCGGAGGGCGGUGCCUCUUCGAUUUUGGAGCAAGCAAUCUUGUUGAGAGUGUUUUCUCGAAUGUGAGUAAAGGUUGGGCAUGUUUGCUAGUCUACCUUGCCACGAAGCACAGAGGUUGACACACAGGGACUUUCCAAUUAUCCAGCAAUGGUACUGUUCCUUUACCCUCUCUUCGAUUUUUAAGAAAGUAGUCAUGUUGGGAGUCUGGCUCUCGAGAUUCGGAGGACGGUGCCUCUUCGAUUUUGGAGCAAGCAAUUUUAUUGGGAGUGUUUUCUCGAAUGUGAGUAAAGGUUGGGCAUGUUUGCUAGUCUACCUUGCCACGAAGCACAAAGGUUGACACACAGGGACUUUCCAAUUAUCCAGCAGUGGUACUAUUCCUUUACCCUUGUGGGUAAUAAUAUGGUAGCUAGACCUUCAAAAUUUAUGGGUCUAAACUUUGUUAGUGCUGUUUCUUUGCUAUUCUUUUACCCUUCUUGGUCAGAGCGAUGUAGUGGGAGCUGCAAGCUUCACGUGCUCAACUUUGGCAGAGAACUUUGGCAAAGUUAUCUGUGGUACCCAUGAGCUAUUGUUGCGUGUGGGAAGUGGGUGAUUGAACAGUAAGAUUCAUGUGUUUUCUACUUCCCCAGAAGUCUUCGACAGAAUGCCCAUAAUUUCCGCAAAGCUGAGUGUGCGUGUGAUAGGUGCUGACAAGGUUGGAAAAGUAGGUGCCUCUUCGAUUUCUGAGAUCGGCCCUCGUGGUCUCUGGGGAGCCCAGCUUUUGAGAAAGCGAGCGCCUCUUCGAUUUCUGAGAUCAGCCUUCGAGGUCUUUGAGCAGCCCAACUUUUGAGAAAGCAAACGCUUAUUCGAUUUCUGAGAUCAACCCUCGUGAUCUCUAAGCAGCCCAGCUUUUGAGAAAGCAAACGCCUCUUCGAUUUCUGAGCAGGCGCCUCUUCGAUUUCUGAAGCUCCGUCGAGUGCAGAUUUUUAUAGGGGCUGGCAUUAAGUUCCAAAGCACACUUGAAUCUCCACCAGUAGAAGCUUCAUUCUUGCACUUCUAAGAUCUUGAUUUGUCCGACCUCUUCUCUCUUCAACACCUUUGAAAAUGUCUGGCCCCUCCGACCGUCAUUUUGACUUGAACCUUGUUCAAGAGGCAGCCCCGCCUUCUCCAGACAACAUAUGGCGCCCAUCCUUCGUCUCCCCUACUGGUCCUCUUACCGUUGGGGAUUCCGUGAUGAAGAAUGAUGACCGCUGCGGUGGUGGCCAGGAACCUUCUCACUCCCAAAGAUAACAGACUACUUUCCAAACGGUCUGAUGAGUUAGCUGUUAAGGAUUCGCUGGCUCUCAGUGUUCAGUGUGCAGGUUAUGUGUCUAAUAUGGCCCAACGCCUAUUUGCUCGAACCCGCCAAGUUGAAUCAUUGGCGGCUGAAGUGAUGAGUCUCAAACAGGAGAUUAGAGGGCUCAAGCAUGAGAAUAAACAGUUGCACCGGCUCGCACAUGACUAUGCUACAAACAUGAAGAGGAAGCUUGACCAGAUGAAGGAAACUGAUGGUCAGGUUUUACUUGAUCAUCAGAGAUUUGUGGGUUUGUUCCAAAGGCAUUUAUUGCCUUCGUCUUCUGGGGCUGUACCGCGUAAUGAAGCUCCAAAUGAUCAACCUCUGAUGCCUCCUCCUUCUAGGGUUCUGUCCAGUACUGAGGCUCCAAAUGAUCCCCAUCCGGUGCCUGCUCUUUCUGGGGCUCUACCGACUGCUGAGACUUCUCCUAAGCAACCUUUGUGAAAGCUCCCUCUUGUGUGUUUAUUUUGACUCAUGUAUAUGUACAUAUUUAUAGUUUAUCGGAGAUAUCAAUAAAUAAGCUUUCCUUCAUUUCAACGUAUUGUGUUAAAUACACCAAAGCCUUCUUCGCUAAGUUCUUUGAAUUUUCUUUUGUUGAAGCUUGUAUGUUGAAGCUUUCUGAGUGGAGCAUGUAGGUUGGGGUAGUGUUCCCUUAAUUUUCCGAGUGAGGAAAACUUCUCGGUUGGAGACUUGGAAAAUCCAAGUCACUGAGUGGGAUCGGCUAUAUGAAUCUUAGAACGCCAUUGUGUUGGAUCCUGUGUCAUGUCCUUCGUUAGAUCCAAGUACUCUAAGUCUUUUCUUAGAGUCUCUUCCAAAGUUUUCCUAGGUCUUCCUCUACCCCUUCGGCCCUGAACCUCUGUCCCAUAGUCGCAUCUUCUAAUCGGAGCAUCAGUAGGCCUUCUGUGCACAUGUCCAAACCACCGUAACCGAUUUUCUCUCAUCUUUCCUUCAAUUUCGGCUACUCCUACUUUACCCCGGAUAUCCUCAUUCCUAAUCUUAUCCUUUCUCGUGUGCCCACACAUCCAACGAAGCAUCCUCAUCUCCGCUACACCCAUUUUGUGUACGUGUUGAUGUUUCACCGCCCAACAUUCUGUGCCAUACAGCAUCGCCGGCCUUAUUGUCGUCCUAUAAAAUUUUCCCUUGAGCUUCAGUGGCAUACGGCGGUCACAUAACACGCCGGAUGCACUCUUCCACUUCAUCCAUCCAGCUUGUAUUCUAUGGUUGAGAUCUCCAUCUAAUUCUCUGUUCUUUUGCAAGAUAGAUCCUAGGUAACGAAAACGGUCGCUCUUUGGUAUUUCUUGAUCUCCGAUCCUCACCCCUAACUCGUUUUGGCCUCCAUUUGCACUGAACUUGCACUCCAUAUAUUCUGUCUUUGAUCGGCUUAGGCGAAGACCUUUAGAUUCCAACACUUCUCUCCAAAGGUUAAGCUUUGCAUUUACCCCUUCCUGAGUUUCAUCUAUCAACACUAUAUCGUCUGCGAACAGCAUACACCAAGGAAUAUCAUCUUGAAUAUGUCCUGUUAACUCAUCCAUUACCAACGCAAAAAGGUAAGGACUUAAGGAUGAGCCUUGAUGUAAUCCUACAGUUAUGGGAAAGCUUUCGGUUUGUCCUUCAUGAGUUCUUACGGCAGUCUUUGCUCCUUCAUACAUAUCCUUUAUAGCUUGGAUAUAUGCUACUCGUACUCCUUUCUUCUCUAAAAUCCUCCAAAUAAUGUCUCUUGGGACCCUAUCAUACGCUUUUUCCAAAUCUAUAAAGACCAUGUGUAAAUCCUUUUUCCCAUCUCUAUAUCUUUCCAUCAAUCUUCGUAAGAGAUAGAUUGCCUCCAUGGUUGAGCGCCCUGGCAUGAACCCGAAUUGGUUGUCCGAAAUCCGUGUCUCUUGCCUCAAUCUAUGCUCAAUGACUCUCUCCCAGAGCUUCAUUGUAUGACUCAUUAGCUUAAUACCCUUAUAGUUCAUGCAAUUUUGUACGUCGCCCUUAUUCUUGUAGAUAGGCACCAAAGUGCUCGUUCGCCACUCAUUUGACAUCUUCUUCGUUUUCAAAAUCCUAUUGAAAAGGUCAGUGAGCCAUGUUAUACCUGUCUCUCCCAAAAGUUUCCACACUUCGAUUGGUAUAUCGUCUGGGCCUAUUGUUUUUUUAUGCUUCAUCUUCUUCAAAGCUACAACCACUUCUUCCUUCCGGAUUCGACGAUAAAAAGAGUAGUUUCUACACUCUUCUGAGUUACUCAACUCCCCUAAAGAAGCACUCAUUUCAUGUCCUUCAUUGAAGAGAUUAUGAAAAUAACCUCUCCAUCUGUCUUUAACCGCGUUCUCUGUAGCAAGAACCUUUCCAUCCUCAUCCUUGAUGCACCUCACUUGGUUUAGGUCCCUUGUCUUCUUUUCCCUUGCUCUAGAUAGUUUAUAGAUAUCCAACUCUCCUUCUUUGGUAUCUAGUCGUUUAUACAUAUCGUCGUAAGCCGCUAACUUAGCUUCUCUGACAGCUUUCUUCGCCUCUUGCUUCGCUUUUCUAUACCUUUCACCAUUUUCAUCGGUCAUCUCCUUGUAUAAGGCUUUACAACAUUCCUUCUUAGCCUUCACCUUUGUUUGUACCUCCUCAUUCCACCACCAAGAUUCCUUUUGGUGUGGGGCAAAGCCCUUGGACUCUCCUAAUACCUCUUUUGCUACUUUUCGGAUACAACUAGCCAUGGAAUCCCACAUUUGGCUAGCUUCCCCCUCUCUAUCCCACACACAUUGGGUGAUUACCUUCUCUUUGAAAAAUGGCUUGUUUUUCUUCUUUUAGAUUCCACCAUCUAGUCCUUGGGCACUUCCAAGUCUUGUUCUUUUGUCUUACUCUUUUGAUAUGUACAUCCAUCACCAACAAGCGAUGUUGAUUAGCCACGCUCUCUCCUGGUAUAACUUUGCAAUCCUUACAAGUUAUACGAUCCCCUUUCCUCAUUAGAAGAAAAUCUAUUUGUGUUUUUGACGACCCACUCUUGUAGGUGAUCACAUGUUCUUCUCUCUUCUUAAAGAAGGUGUUGGCUAAGAAGAGAUCAUAUGCCAUUGCAAAAUCCAAGAUAGCUUCCCCAUCCUCGUUUCUCUCCCCAAAACCAUGGCCACCAUGAAAACCUCCAUAGUUGCCUGUCUCCCUGCCCACGUGUCCAUUUAAAUCUCCUCCUAUAAAUAACUUCUCCGUCUGAGCAAUUCCUUGCACCAAGUCUCCAAGAUCUUCCCAAAAUUUCUCCUUCGAACUCGUAUCCAACCCUACUUGAGGUGCGUACGCACUAAUCACAUUGAUAAGUUCUUGUCCUAUUACAAUCUUGAUUGCCAUGAUUCUAUCUCCUACCCUCUUGACAUCUACAACAUCUUGUACCAAGGUCUUGUCCACGAUGAUGCCAACACCGUUUCUCGUUCUAUUUGUGCCCGAAUACCAAAGUUUAAACCCUGAGUUUUCUAGAUCCUUUGCCUUACUACCAACCCACUUAGUUUCUUGUAGGCACAUAAUAUUUAUCCUUCUCCUCACCAUCCUUACUACCAACCCACUUAGUUUCUUGUAGGCACAUAAUAUUUAUCCUUCUCCUCACCAUAACUUCCACUACUUCCAUAGAUUUUCCCGUUAAGGUUCCUAUAUUCCACGUUCCUAAACGCAUUUUGCUCUCUUGAACUCUACCCUUCUGUCCUAGCUUCUUCAGGGUCUGGGAGAGGUGAAUGUCGGCUAGCCUUACCCCCAUUUUAUGGAGAGCCUGCUCCCAAGUCUCGAACCCGAGACCUACCGCUCAUGGGCGAAGGCACUUGCCAUCGCACCAAGUGCGACCAGAGUGAGUAAACAAUAUUGAACCAAAUACACAUGAAUAAUUGAUUGGAGAUAAAAAUAAAAAUUACCUCUGAUAUCUGGAAUAUGAUAAAUCUUUGGCCAUUCUGGGCCACUGUUCUUGGCGCAUCUUUCUGCCAGACGUUGGUGAUUGGUAUUUAGUCUUUGGUUACUAUUAUCUUUAGUAAAUGGAGUAGACUUGUACUUGAAAGUUGAUGACCAAAUUGACAACUGCCUCCUCUUCAUUUGGCUGCAAUGAAAUCCUAACUAGCUACCCAGCAAAUGGUGUUGUCAUGGAACCUGCAUUUGUGGAAUAUGAACAUCUGGAAUUCACUCAAGGUGAAUUAUGGUAUGGUGAAAUCGUAACAUGAGUUUCUUCAUUUGAGCCUGGAGUUCCUUCUCGAUGCCUAGACACCUCCAUUUCCAGAAAUUGUGUUAGUUGGCACAUCACAAAACUCAUGGUGGCUCUAUGUUGGGAGGUAUGCAAAGCUGCCUCUGAUGCUUUCCAGACCGAAUUCACAUUGAACUCUCCUCGAAGCCCUUGAUCCAAAAUAGUUGUUCAAUUCCCGUUCUGGAACUCAAGAUUCACCUACUCCACUAUGUGGACAAGAUCAUCAUUUUCUAUGAUUGCAGGUUGGCUAGUAAAACCCUAAACAUCAAUUUUUUUUUUCCUUCAACCUUGCUAAUUAUAGUAUCUGCAGACCAAAUAAAGUAAUCAUAGAUCACUCACUGCUCAUAGAAUUCACAUUGAACUCUCCUCGAAGCCUUUGAUCCUAAAUAGUUGUUCAAUUCCCGUUCUGGAACUCAAGAUUCACCCGCUCCACUAUGUGGACAAGAUCAUCAUUUUCUAUGAUUGCAGGUUGGCCAGUAAAACCCUAAACAUCAAUUUUUUUUUCCUUCAACCUUGCUAAUUAUAGUAUC
rnacentral:lncRNA from 1 species